rnacentral:lncRNA from 1 species
AUUCAGAGUAUUAAUUUUUUUAUAUGAAUUAAUUAUUUGCUGACAAAUAAUUAAAAGGUCAUAGAACAAUAUUUUCAGCUCAAAUUUUUAUUCUAAUAUGACACAACUUGGUACUUUCAUUCCUAUGCUAAAAUAUAUCUAACCUACUAAUAGUCAAGAAAUAUAUCUAUUCAACACAUAUUUGUUAGAAAGAUUAUCUACUAAUUAAUCAUUGAGACGAGAUUACGAAUCUCAACAUAAAUUAGGAUAAAAAUUAAUAUAUUGAAAUUCAGAAUAUUUCAAGCUUGUAAAACUACUUUCAAGCGAAUCUGAUAAAAUUAUUUCAAUACUCGUGGGUGACUCCUUUUUAAACCGCAGAAGGAAAUGAUUUUCUCCUUGUUUGUACAAAUAUAAUUUCUUUUUUCAAUUUUGCCUUGUUUUGCUUCUACUUGAUUAUCAAUUGCACAGCCGUUGACCCUGUUCUAUUUCUAUUUCGUUCACUUCCCUAAAAAAAAAAAAAAGAUGGACAUUUUGAAAAGCAUUGUUCCAGGAGUUGUAAACUGCUUGUCCCCUCACGCACAACGCGAAUUUAGUUACUGGUAUAACUCCGGUGCCAACUUUGAGAAUCUCAAGGCAGAACUCCAUAGGCUCAAGGUUGAAAGAGAAAGCAUUCAGCGCAGAGUUUCUGAGGCUGAAAGAAAAGGUGAAAAGAUUGAAGAGAAUGUUGAGAAAUGGCUGGUUAAUGCGAACGAGAGCAUUGAGCAGGCAGCCAAAUUCAUUCAAGACGAAGAGAAAGCAAAUGAUGGCCGAUGUCUCAUGGGGCUGUUUCCUGAUUGGUUUGCUCGCUAUCAUCAUGGAAAGAAAGCAGAAACAGAGAAGGAGGCCCUUUUUAAACUCCGAGAAGAAGCUGGGAGAUUUGAUGAUAGAAUUUCCUACCGUACCGUUCCGGAGGAUAUAUGGCUCAAGUCUCACAAAGGCUACGAGGCCUUCGAAUCAAGACUUUCUACUUUGAAAGCCAUACAAAAUGCAUUGAUCGUUGUUGAUGUCAGCAUCAUUGGGGUCUACGGCAUGGGCGGCAUUGGAAAGACGACACUGGUGCAGGAGGUCGCCAGGCAAGCUAUGGCAGACAAGCUCUUUGAUACGGUGGUCUUUUCAGAGGUUUCGCAAACUCCAGACAUAAAAAAGAUUCAACAGGAAAUUGCCGAGAAGUUGGGCCUGGAGUUGCACGAGGAAGUUGAAUCUAGAAGAGCAAGUAGGCUAUGUGAGCGAUUGAAAAAUGAGAAAAAGAUCCUUGUGAUUCUGGAUAACAUCUGGAAACCUCUUGAUUUGGGGACUAUUGGAAUUCCUUUUGGAGUUGAGCACAGAGGAUGCAAAUUAUUAUUCACAACAAGAGAUCUUGAUGUGCUGUUAAGGACAGAAUCUGAAAAAAACUUCUCGAUUGGCAUUUUAAAUGAACAAGAAGCCUGGAGAUUGUUCAAGAUAAUGGCUGGUGAUUAUGUUGAAAACCGUGAGUUAAAACCUAUAGCAACAAGGGUAGCCAAGGCAUGUGGAGGUUUGCCUAUUGCCCUUAACCACAGUAGCAAAGGCACUGAGAAACAAAGAGCUGCCUGUGUGGAAGAAUGCGUUGCAAGAACUCCAAACGCCUUCAGAGGCAAGCUUCGACGGAGGAGUACCAGCAGAGGCAUACUCAACAAUUGAGCUGAGUUACAAGUACUUAAGAGGUGAGCAACUCAAGAAAACGUUUUUACUGUGUAGUCUUAUUACGCCAGCACCAAUUAUGGAUUUGUUCAAAUACAGCAUGGGCUUGGGUGUAUUUAAAAGUGUCCAUAAACUAAGAGACUCUUGUUUGUUGCUUGAGGAUGGUGGCAGUAAAUACAUUUCUAUGCACGAUGUUGUUCGCGAUGUUGCCAUUUCAAUUGCAUGUCGUGACAAAAUUGGAUUUGUGGUGAGAAAUGAGGAUGUGUGGAACUGGCCAGAUGCAGAUGCACUAAAAAAAUAUCUUGCAAUUUCUUUUAAAGAUAGUAUUGUUAAUGACAUUCCUGAAGGGUCCGAAUCUCUACAACUUCAACUUCUAGUCAUGUCUCCCAAGAACUCUUUUUCUGUGCCUAAUAUUCCUAAGAACUUCUUCAAAAGGACGAAAAAGCUUCGGGUUUUGGAUUUGACUAGAAUGCGGUUAUUGUCAUUGCCAUCUUCAAUUGGUCUUCUAGUAAAUCUUCAGACACUCUGUCUUAAUCAAAGCAUUUUGGGAGGCAUAGACAUAGCCAUUAUUGGAAAGUUGGAAAAUCUAGAAAUCCUCAGCUUUUUGCAAUCUGAUAUUGUAGAGUUGCCUAAAGCACUGGGUCAACUGACUAACCUAAGGCUGUUAGAUUUCACAGACUGUUUCCGUCUGAAAGUUAUUGCCCCAAAUGUCAUAUCAAGCUUAACCCGAUUAGAAGAAUUGUAUAUGGGUAAUUGCUCCAUUGAAUGGGAGGUUGAAAGAGCCAACAGCAAAAGAAGUAAUGCUAGCCUUGAUGAAUUGAUGCAUUUACCUCGGCUAACCACUCUAGAAAUUGACGUUAAAAAUGACAGUAUGUUACCAGAACGUUUUUUGGCCAGAAAGCUUGAAAGGUUCAAAAUACAUAUUGGAAAUGAGUCAUUCACGCAUCCCAUGAGAGUCAGACAAGCUUGGUUUAAAAGUCGGCGACACUUUUAUAUCGACAGUGAUUGCAAGAGUUUAAGAGCAUUGAAGCUCAAGCUUGCUUUUACGGACAUUUGCUCCAUGAAAUUGCAGGGCGUCAAUAGCGUUGAAUACUUAUUGUUGGACAAGCUGCGAGGUAUCAAGAACGUUCUUUUCAAUUUGGACACGGAGGGCUUUUCACAAUUGAAGGUUCUCUGGGUUCAAAAUAAUCCUGACUUCUUUUGCAUCGUCGAUUCAAGGGCGAUGGUCGCUUGUGAUGCCUUUCCUCUUUUGGAGUCACUUGGCCUUCACAAUUUGAUCAACAUGGAGAGGAUAUGUAUUGAUCGGCUCAAAGUAGAGUCCUUCAACGAACUCAAAAAUAUAGAAGUAUAUAAUUGUGAUAAGUUGAGUAAUAUCUUUUGGCUCUCUACUAAAAAAUGCCUUCCAAGACUUGAGAGAAUUGCAGUUGUUAAUUGCAGCAAGAUGAAAGAGAUUUUUGCAAUUGGGGAAGAAGUUGAUAAUGCAAUUGAGAAGAUAGAGUUUGCUCAAUUAAGAUCUUUGAGUCUGGGGAAUCUUCCAGAGGUUACAAGUUUUUGCCGGGAAGUAAAGACUCCUUCAGCAUCACCAAACAGACCAGCGUCGCAAGAGGAAUCGACGACUAUGUAUAGCUCCAGCGAAAUCACUUUGGAUAUUUCAACUCUGCUUUUCAACGAGAAGGUGCGUAGUGUUGCGGACCGCCCAAUUCGCUAGCCCAAUUGCCCACAAUUUCGGGCUAGAGAGCCAACACAAGGCCAAGAGUGCUAGCUUGGCCCAAUUCCGGAAGGUUCUAGGCAACUCUAGCACAUGUGAACAUGUAAAUAUUCUAGAAUACUUUAUACAAUUCCAGCACAUGUAAAUAGCUAGGAAAUUGUAUAAUACUCUAGAGUUUGACCAAGUUUGGCAAAGUUAGGCAAAGUUAGGCAAAGUUAGGCAAAGCCUCCCCUAUAACUAUGGGAUGGCAUUAGGCAUUUGUAUCCAACAAGCAUUGUAAUCUCUCUUUGUGCAAUACAAGUUUCUUUGGCUCAAUUGCUCUCUUCUCUUGUUCGAGAAUCUCUAGGCUUACUUAGCAACAUUCGGCAAAGUUGUCUAAGUGCCGCACGGGUUAGCUGCGCAAAACACUCAUCCCGUGACAAGUGGUAUCAGAGCUAAGGUUUGCACGCACGCAAAUUAGCUCACGAAGCAAUGGCCAACCCUUCGAACGUAGCACAAGAGGGUGUUGUUGGUGUGGAUGUUCCACCGGAACCAAGCCGUGGCCGAGAGGGAGAACGCGCCCAAGGCAAGACUCGCGGCAAGUCCAAGGCCCUAUCCGUGGAUGCGUUGGAGCCUCGUGUAGGCACUCUCGAAAUAGCAUUGUCCGCCGCUCAAGAUAGCCUCGUGGGAUUGGAGGAAAGAGUGGAUGGUCUCGAGGGAGAAUACGCCAAGUUCACGGUGGCCACAAAAGCUCUCAUCCAUGAGCAAGCGAACAUUCUCCGAGGUGAGUUUCGUUCUUUCCAUGAUGAGUUGCUCAAACUUCGUAGUUUUGUUCAGGACGAACUACGUGCUGUCCGUGCGGAAGUGGAUGAAGUCCGCUCGGAUUGGGCAUGGCACAAGCGCACACUCUCCACAAGUCCAGCUUCCGCAAACUCGAGUGAUGCGCGCCGCAUUGACGUGCCAAAGCCCGACACCUACGAUGGCACACGCAAUGCCACCAUCGUGGACAAUUUCCUCUUUGGGCUGGAUCAAUACUUCGAUGCCAUGGGUGUCCGAGAUGAGGCAUCGAAAGUGGGCACUGCACCCACCUAUCUUAGAGGCGCUGCACAACUAUGGUGGCGUCGCAAGCAUGGCGAGAUGGGCAAGGGCAUUUGCGCCAUCAACACUUGGGCCGACUUCAAGCAAGAACUCCGAAAGCAGUUCGCCCCAAGCAAUGCGGAGAAGGAAGCGCGAGUGCGCUUACGUCGCCUCAAGCAAUCGGGUAGCAUUCGGGACUACAUCAACGAGUUCACUACCCUCAUGUUGGAGAUAAGCGACAUGUCCAACAAGGAUUCACUCUUCUACUUCCAAGAUGGCCUCAAGGAUUGGGCCAAGACCGAGCUUGAUAGGCGUGGUAUUCAAACACUUGACGACGCCAUUGCCGUUGCGGAGUCGCUCACCGAAUACUCUACCCAAUCCAAGGACAAAAAGGCCAACCAAGGCAAAGGUGGGGGAGAGAGUCGCAAGGACAAGGGCAACAACCGCAAAGAUUGGGGGCAGAAAAAGCCGCCUAGCAACAAGAGUUGGCAAGGAAAAUUGGAGGGCAAGAAGGAGGCGCCAAAGCCGCGAAGCCCAUGCUUCAUAUGCAAUGGUCCUCAUUGGGUACGCGACUGUCCGGAGAAGAGGUUGCUUAAUGCUCUUGCUGCCCAACUCAAGAGCAACCCCACAAUGUCCACGGAGGAACCCCAACUCAGCAUGGGUUCUCUCCAACGCCUCGGCGCCCUCAAUCGCCAACAGCCCGCACUCGUCAAGAAAGGGCUCAUGUAUGUAAGCGCAAAGGUAAACGGUCAGUCCGUUCGCGCGCUGCUAGACACGGGAGCAACACACAAUUUCGUGUCCGUAGACGAGGCCAAGCGCUUAGGCCUCAAGGCCACCAAGGAAGGAGGCACAAUGAAGGCUGUGAACUCACCCGCCAAGCCAAUUGCGGGAAUCGCACAAGGCGUGCACAUCACACUUGGUACGUGGAGCGGAAAGCUUGACUUCUCCAUCGUGCCCAUGGACGACUUCAAGAUGGUCCUCGGCAUGGAAUUCUUCGACCAAGUCCAUGCCUUCCCACUGCCCGCUACAAACUCCCUAAGCAUCCUCGACGGGAGUAAAGCAUGCAUGGUACCCACGGAGCGAGGCAAGUCCGAGGAGAAGACACUCUCCGCCAUGCAAUUCAAAAGGGCUUUCAAGAAGGACCCAAGCUUCUUGGUCUCCAUUCGGGAACUAAAUGAGGAAGGAAAUAGCGGAACGUCGCCAAGCCAAGUCCCUCCACAAAUUCAAGCCGUCCUCGAAGAUUACAAGGAUGUGAUGCCUCCAGAACUUCCAAAGAAGCUCCCACCUCCGCGAGAGGUAGAUCAUGCGAUUGAGCUAGAACAAGGCGCGAAGCCACCAGCCUUGGCACCCUACCGCAUGGCGCCACCCGAAUUAGAGGAGUUGCGGAGACAACUCAAAGACUUGCUGGAUGCCGGCUACAUUCGCCCCUCAAAGGCCCCAUUCGGUGCACCGGUCCUCUUCCAAAAGAAAAAUGAUGGAUCGCUGCGGAUGUGCAUCAACUAUAGAGCGCUCAACAAGAUCACCAUCAAGAACAAGUAUCCGAUUCCAUUGAUUGCGGACUUGUUCGACCAGCUUGGCAAAGCGCGGUACUUCACCAAACUUGACUUGCGCUCCGGGUACUACCAAGUGCGCAUCGCCAAGGGAGACGAACCGAAGACAGCGUGCACAACAAGGUACGGGUCUUUCGAAUUCCUUGUGAUGCCUUUUGGCCUUACUAAUGCACCCGCCACAUUUUGCACACUCAUGAACAAGGUACUCCAACCAUUCCUCGACCGCUUCGUGGUCGUGUACUUGGACGACAUUGUGGUGUAUAGCACCACACUCGAGGAUCAUGCCCAACACUUGCAACAAGUCCUCCAAGUACUUCGAGACAAUGAGCUCUUCCUCAAACUAGAGAAGUGCUCGUUUGCCCAACAAGAGGUGGAGUUCCUUGGCCACAAGAUUGCGGGCGGGAAGAUCAUGAUGGAAAAUGACAAAGUAAAGGCCAUCCUCGAUUGGGAGCCUCCCUCGAAAGUACCCGAGCUUCGCUCAUUCCUUGGGCUGGUGAAUUACUACCGCCGCUUCAUUAAGGGCUAUUCAGCCAAGGCGGCACCCUUGACGGAUAUGCUCAAGAAAAACAGAACGUGGCAUUGGUCCGAAGAGUGCUAACGUGCAUUCGAGGAGUUGAAGGCAAUUUCGGAGGAACCAGUCCUCGCUCUUCCGGACCACACCAAGCCCUUCGAAGUUCAAACGGAUGCCUCGGAUUUCGCCAUAGGUGGAGUCCUUAUGCAAGAAGGCCACCCAAUAGCGUUCGAGAGUCGAAAGCUAAAUGACACGGAACGCCGCUACACGGUGCAAGAAAAGGAGAUGACAGCCAUCAUCCAUUGUCUAAGAGUGUGGCGACAUUACUUGCUUGGCUCACACUUCACGAUCAUGACGGACAACGUGGCGACAAGCUACUUUCAAACUCAAAAGAAGUUGAGUCCGAAGCAAGCACGGUGGCAAGAUUUCCUUGCGGAAUUCGACUAUCGGCUAGAGUACAAACCGGGGAAAGCCAAUGUUGUUGCGGACGCUCUAAGCCGCAAGGCGGAAUUGGCAACACUUAGCAUGAGCCAACCGAAGUCCGACCUUGUCUCACGCAUCAAGGAAGGCCUCCAACAAGAUCCGCUAGCAAAGGAUUUGCUGGAGAAGGUGCUCGAGGGAAAGACAAGGCGGUUUUGGCAAGAGGAAGGCAUCCUCCUCACCAAGGGAGAUCGGCUGUUCGUGCCAAGGUGGGGAAACUUGCGGAAGGAAGUAAUCAAGGAGUGCCACGACUCUAAGUGGGCUGGUCACCCAGGAAUCGAGCGCACCACCGCACUAGUUCAAGCCUCGUAUUUUUGGCCGCACAUGAGGGACGACAUUGAGGCAUAUGUGCGAACUUGUCUUGUGUGCCAACAAGACAAAGUGGAUCAUCAACUUCCAGCGGGAUUGUUGGAGCCGCUACCACUAGCAACAAGGCCAUGGGAAAGUGUCUCCAUGGACUUCAUCACAUCGCUGCCCAAGUCCGAAGGUUGCGGAAGUAUCAUGGUCAUUGUCGACCGAUACAGCAAGUACGCCACAUUCAUUGCUGCACCAGUCGAUUGCAAAGCGGACGAGGCAGCCCGCCUAUUUGUCAAGCACAUUGUGAAGCUUUGGGGAGUACCGAAGAGCAUUGUGAGCGACCGAGACCCUCGGUUCACUGGACGCUUUUGGACGGAACUCUUCAAAAUGUUGGGGACCGAUCUCAAGUUCUCGACAAGCUUCCACCCACAAACGGAUGGGCAGACCGAGCGCAUUAAUGGCCUCCUCGAGAUGUACCUGAGGCAUUAUGUGAGCGCUCACCAGCGGGAUUGGGCGAAGCUACUCGACAUCGCCCAAUUUUCUUAUAACUUGCAGCGAAGUGAGGCUACGGGCAAGAGUCCGUUCGAGAUCAUCAUGGGAUUCCAGCCCAUGACCCCCAAUGCCAUAGCCUCGACUUACGGAGGGAAAAGCCCCGCGGUACACAAGCUCGCCCGCGAACGGCAUGAGGAAGCGGACAUCACACGAGCCUACCUCGACAAAGCCGCGAGGAAGAUGAAGAAAUGGACGGAUACAAGGAGACGACAUGUUGAGUACAAGGAAGGUGAUCAAGUCAUGAUCAAGCUCCUACCCCAACAAUUCAAGACUUUGCGGAAAGUUCACAAGGGGUUAGUGAGGCGCUACGAGGGACCCUUCCGAGUUGUUCGACGUGUGGGCAACGUCUCGUAUCAACUCCAACUUCCGCCAAGACUCAAGAUCCAUCCGGUCUUCCAUGUGAGCCUUCUCAAGCCAUAUCACGAAGACAUGGGAGAACCAAGUCGCGGAGAAUCGAGGCGCGCGCCAACUGCCGUUGUCACCGCGUUCGACAAAGAUGUGGACUACAUCAUUGCGGACCGAACGGUUUCGAGGAGGGGCGUGCCAGCACAUAGCGAGUACUUGGUGAAGUGGAAAAACCUCCCCGAGAGCGAAGCCACUUAUCGCUGAGCACAUCCAGCACUUCAAGCACGAGACCGCGACGAGGACGCCACGAGCUUAGGUGGGGGAGGAUGUUGCGGACCGCCCAAUUCGCUAGCCCAAUUGCCCACAAUUUCGGGCUAGAGAGCCAACACAAGGCCAAGAGUGCUAGCUUGGCCCAAUUCCGGAAGGUUCUAGGCAACUCUAGCACAUGUGAACAUGUAAAUAUUCUAGAAUACUUUAUACAAUUCCAGCACAUGUAAAUAGCUAGGAAAUUGUAUAAUACUCUAGAGUUUGACCAAGUUUGGCAAAGUUAGGCAAAGCCUCCCCUAUAAAUAUGGGAUGGCAUUAGGCAUUUGUAUCCAACAAGCAUUGUAAUCUCUCUUUGUGCAAUACAAGUUUCUUUGGCUCAAUUGCUCUCUUCUCUUGUUCGAGAAUCUCUAGGCUUACUUAGCAACAUUCGGCAAAGUUGUCUAAGUGCCGCACGGGUUAGCUGCGCAAAACACUCAUCCCGUGACAGUAGGCUAACAUUUUCUUUAUUCUAUCAUGCGUUCUGUUUUGAUGUCAUACGUGGAAAAUAAUUAAAUCAUUUAAAGAAUUGAAAGAAAAUGAAAAAAAAAGGAUAAAAAGAAUCUCACGCGCUCACUAAUUGAGCUCUUAACAAGUAGUAUGAAUUAGAAUGCGUACUCAGCUGUCAGUUGGAAAUUGAUUCAGACUUGUAUUAAUUUGUAAUCAAAGAAGAAAAUUUCAACAAGUGCUUCCCAUAUGGAUAUUGGAUCUAACGAGAAAUUCUUAUUUUUUUAGGUUGCGUUGCCUAACUUGGAGGCUUUGGAGAUAUCUGCAAUUAAUGUCGACAAGAUUUGGCACUACAAUCAUCUUCCGGCGGCCGUGUUUCCUCACUUUCAAAGUUUAACACGAUUGAUUGUGUGGCGUUGUCACAAAUUAAAAUACAUAUUUUCAGCGUCUAUGAUCAGAAGCCUUAAGCAGCUCCAACACCUACGUAUACACUACUGUAAGAAUUUACAGGAGAUCAUUUCUGAAAACAGAACAGAUGAAGUGAUCCCUCAUUUUGUCUUUCCACAGCUCACCACUCUGAGACUCGAAGGUCUACCAAAACUUAGAUGUUUGUACCCUGGAAAGCAUACUUCGGAAUGGCCCGCACUAGAAAUUCUUGUAGUGUAUCGUUGUGACAAAUUAAAGAUAUUCGCUGCAGAUUUAUCGCAGAAUAAUGAGAAUGAUCAACUUGGCAUUCCUGCACAACGGCCCCCAUUGCCAUUGGAAAAGGUAUGAAGCCAAGUUCUAGAUUUUUUAUCAAUAGCUUAUUUUUAACUUCGAAAAAUAUGACAAAGCAUCGAUAAAUUAAUACUCAAUAAAUUGAAAACUUUUAUUAUACAAUAAUCUUUGCUAGUCUAGAUUAAGAGAUCAAUGUGGUAGAUUAAUAAUUAUAUGAACUUUUUUUGGUAUAGCAUUUGUAAAAGAAUCUUGAGUCUUUCCAUAUAGAAGAACUUACAAAAUAAAUUAGUAAUUUAUUAUUGUGCAAUAAAAUAAUUUCGAGUCAGUAUAAAUCAACCUUUUUUCCCUAAUUUCUUUUUUACCUCUAAAAUUAACAUAUAAAAAAUCAUUUAAUAAAUUUUAUCAAUAAUUCAAUUUUUUUUUUAAAAAUAUAAUAUAAAACAAAUACUAUAAAGUCACUGCGUGUCAUUGGAUUACUCAAAAUCAUUUGAGAGAUCAUCAAUUGACCUUAUCAGUUAUUAUGAUUGACGAUGAUCAGAUCUUACCCAACUUGAUGGAACUAUCACUAAGUGGAAAAGACGUGGAGAUGAUUUUGCAGGCCGAUUUCCCACAACACCUUUUUGGCAGUCUUAGAGAACUAGAGAUUGCUGCAGAUGACUCAGCUUGUUUUCCAAUCUGGAACGUACUGGAGAGAUUUCACAAUCUCGAAAUACUCACACUGUGUGAUUUUUCAUCCCACGAAGAGCUAUUUUCGAUGGAAGGAUGCUUAGAGAAACAUGUGGGGAAGUUGGCAAUGAUAAAAGAAUUAGAGCUGUACCGGCACUAUCAUCUGAAGCAGCUGUGCAAACAAGACUCCAAACUUGGCCCCAUUUUUCAGUAUCUUGAAAUUCUAAGAGUAUAUCAUUGUCAAAGUCUGUUAAUUCUAUUGCCAUCAUCAUCGGUAUCUUUUGGGAACCUAACAAAACUUGUAGCUUUCGGUUGCAAGGGAUUGAUACACUUGGUAACAUCCUGCACAGCAAAAACUCUAGUGCAACUCGUCACGGUGCGUAUACAAGGAUGCAGAGCAAUGACAGAGGUGGUAAUAAAUGACAAAGAAGGAGUUGAAAAAGAAGAGAUUGUUUUCAGCAAAUUGAAGGCGUUGAUUCUGUGUGAUUUAGAAAGUCUCACAAGUUUCUGCUCUGCCAAUUACACCUUCAGAUUCCCAUCUUUGGAAUAUCUGGAAGUGAUUGGUUGUCCCAAGAUGAAGAUUUUCACUACAGGAGAAUCAAUCACGCCUCCGAGAGUAGACGUCCAGUAUGGAGAGACAUCGAAUCAACGGCGUUGGGCUAAUAAUGAUCUAAACACAACCAUACAACAAUUACAUGCUGAGAAGGUACGGAUAUACAUAUUACUCUCUAUCUCCCAUGAUAAAUUUUUACAAAAUUUGCUUUUUCUUUUUAAAUAAAAUAUAGAUAAAAUGUUUGUUAUAAAGUAAAAGUUUAAAUUGAUGAAUAAGAAUUUUAUUUUCAGCUGUUGGCGGGGUCGUCGAUAUACUCUACGCAGUACGACUAAUUUCAUAGGCUUCUUAUGACUUGGAGUUGCGAAUUUUAUUUAAUUUAUUUAAUCCCAUGGCUUGUUUCGCAAUUUCAUCUUAAUUAUUUAGAAUAGGUCCCUCGGUUUACUGUUAAACUAGGAAAUAGAACCGCGCUUCGCGCGGCUUUAAAAAUAUCAAAUUAAAAAUAAAAAAUUUGAUGAAAUUCAAAUUUCUUAAGAUAACCUUCUGAUCUCUUCUCAAAAGGAAGAUUAAACAAGUUAAUUUUGUAUGUUUAUUUCAAUAAUAAUAACGAUCGCACAUAAUAAUAAUAAUAAUAAAAAUAAUAAUAAUAAUAAUAAUUGGCACCUGACGACGUUGAGGCUCAUGAGCAUUCCACAAAAUAUAAGUUUCAAUUGCAUCGAGCCCUCCAUCCUUUGCCUUCUGUAUAAGAUCUGGCCACAUCUGCACAAAUAUAACGCAUAUAGAAAUAAAUCAUAUCAAAUUUUACAUAUUUUAAGAAUAAUAAUGCUGUUGGAUCCAAAAAUAUUGCCCAUAAUUUUUCCUAAACAUGAAAGCGCACCGUUUUGAAUGUGGGAUCAUGUUUGGCUUGUUAGGAAAAAAAAUUAAGAUAAUAUUUUUGCAACAAAGUAGCUUUUUUUUUUUUGGUUAAAAGAAGAAGAAAAUGUGAAAGUGCAAGUGAUUUGAGAAAUUGUAAAUUAAUUAUUUGCAUACAGUACUUGUGGACUACUGCGAAAAUAUAAUGAAUUGCACCAGAGAAGAUAACUCGUCGUUCUCCAUUAAUUAUAAUGGUAGUUGCAUCAUAAUCGACUUGUGUUGCUGAUGAUGACAAGCAACUUAAAUUUAGAAUAAGAAGAAUUAUGCCUUAGUGGCAUUGUUGAGGGAAGAUGAAAGAACCUCUCUUCCUAUGUUAAUUAAUUAAUGUAUUUUAAGCCGCUAAAGUUUAAUUGCUAGUAUAAUAAAAUUUGAAGAAGCCAAAAGACACUAAAUAAAAGGUUGCAUAAUUAAAUAUGAGAUUAUGGCAUUAAAAUUAGGCCCUUAUGACAUUGUUGAAGGAAGAUGAAAGAGCCUCUCUUCAUAUGUUAAUUAAUUGAUGUAUUUUAAGCUACUAAAGUUUAAUUGCUAGCAUAAUAAAAUAAAUGAAUGUUUCAAAAGAUUUAUUAUUAAUUAUUAUUCAUGAUUAUAUAUUGUUGGAUUUCAAUAGAAAGAGGAAGAGACAUGAAAAUUAAACUUAGGCCCUAGCUGCAUUAUUGAGGGAAGAUGAAAGAACCCCUCUUCCUAUGUUAAUUAAUUGAUGUAUUUUAAGCAACUAAAGUUUAAUUGCUAGCAUAAUAAAAUAAAUGAAUAUUUCAAAAGACUUAUAAUUAAUUGUUAUUAAUGGUUACAUAUUGUUGGAUUUAAAUAGAAAGAGGAAGAAAUAAUGAUGCCACAAAUCUUAAAUAUUUAAUGUUUAUAGAGUUUGAAGAAGCCAAAAGGCACUAAACAAAAUAUUGAAUAAUUAAAUAUGGGAUCAUGACAUUAAAAUUGGGCUCUAAUGGCAUUGUUGACAUUAAAAUUGGACUUAUAAUUAAUUAUUAUUAAUGAUUACAUAUUGUUGAAUUUAAAUAGAAAGAGAAAAAAAGUACAAAGAAUAUUCACCAAUAUUUUAGAUAUUUUAGAUAAUAGAAAAUAUAAAAAGAUGAGGAAUGAUAUAUAUUAAUAAAGUUACUAUUUAUUAAAUGAGUUAAAUACAAUCAAAUUAAUUAUGAGAAGAUGAAAAGCUAAAUCUAAAAAAAAUUCUCUAUUUAUUAGAUAAUAGAGAAUAUACAAAGAAGCAAAAUGGUGAUGCCACAUCACCUCCUCAAGUCCUAGCUUUAUAUAGAUAUAUAGAUAUAUAGAUAGAUAGAUAUAGAUUUGCAAUGCAAUUUUAAUGAUCCCUUCAGACUUUUAUGGACAGAUUUUGCAUAAUUGAAUGUCUUUUUAGUCUAGUUUAAUUUGAGUCUUUUUCUUCUUCUUUUUUUUUUUUUUUUGGGAGCUCCCCUCGUCUUCUAAAAUUUUAUAACUCCUUGCAUACGUUUUUAUGAUAAAAUUUCAUUAAAAGCCUUCGUAUUUUAUAAUUCGUUGAAAACAUGCAUACUUUUUCCAUUCUUUCUUUGCCAAUUAUUUAUUCUCAUCAUUGCUGUUCUUUUAUUUUAGUUUGUGUUCUGUUUGUUCAUUGGGUUUGCUUUUCUUCACGCCUAUAUUUCCUUGGAAAGUUAGAAGGCAAGGAAAGUACUUAGAAAAUGUUCUUGUUCUUCCCUAUGAACACAUAAUUAAAGAACAGCUGAAUAUCAUUCAUCGGACUAAAAAAAUUUAAAAAAAAAAACGUAAUCAGUGCAUUGUUCCUAUAACAAAUGCUUAAACCAUCAAAUGUUAGCUAUGAACAAGUAUAUUGUGGAAAUAUUGUUUGAAAAUAUUUCAUAAAAAAUCAAGUUUUCACAAACCAAAAAGGGACUAAUUUGGUCUAGCAUAUUCAUAAUAUUUUCUCCACUGUUCCUGUUAAAAUUUCUCUACUCUAUGAUUGCAGAAUGUUUGGAUACUGAUGACGAUUUAAGUCACUCUUCUUCUGUGCGCAAUUUGAAAUAAGGUCGUUUUUCUUUUUUCCUCUAUUCAAAGUUUACAUUCUGAGGGGUUCCCGUUUCCAUCUUCGUGAUCUUCUUGUGAUUCACUGCAUCGUGUCGCUACAUCUGUGAUAGUGUGAGUUGCAACCUGUCUGUUUUCUUUGUUUGAUCAUUGUAUGUAUUAAAAAAGUUUACAUUUCAUUCUAGAUAAGCUCUUUGUAUGUAUUAAAAAAAUUUUAUUCUCAAUAUAUAUGACUCAAUGAGAGGUCUUUUAUUAUAUAUAUGUCAUGAAUUUCUAUUGUAUUUUGAGAUUUGAUGGUGUAUUAUUGUCUCAUUGCAAGGUCUUGUAAUCACUCUGAUUCUCAUUUGAGGAGGUUGGUCUCGUCUAUGUGUAUGUAUUUAUAUCCACAAGAAAUUUGAUAAAUGGUCUUGUCGUUUUCUCAUUAAAACAUCUAGUGCUUCAUGGGUUGGAGGGCUACUAGGCAUCAGGGCCAGAUCUUUAAACUCAAAGUUCUUCGUGUCAUUUACCCAUUUGAUUAUCAAAUAGUCAUAAAAGCAUAUAAAUUCAAGUUAGUGUAUCAUUUUUACACAAUAUACUAAAACUAACACAAGAACUUGGCCGACAUUUUCAGUUGAAUAACUCAGACCCCCGAACUUCCUCGGGCUGACAUCCCAAAGUGAAAAUGUCUAAAAAAAUAGUUGCAACAUUUACCCAUUUGAUUAUGAUUCAAAAAAAAACACAAACGGAGAAAUUAUUGGGAUUGUUAAGAUAGUUAAAAUGGUUAGUUAUUGUUUCAGUUUGUUAAGCAAGAUAGGUAGAGUUACUGACGUGUUAGCUGAGCUGGCAUAAGUUAUUCAACUCUCAGGUGCUUAGAAACCUUGUAUAAAUACAUUUGUAAUCAGCUAAAGAAUGGAUGAUUCAGAUUUAUUCAUCAAAUCCAGCUCUUAGAUGAUCUCUGUUCUUUCUUUCAUUUUCUCUCAUUUUCUUACUUAUCAAACAGAUUAGAAACUUUAACUUGGUAUCAGAGCCUGAAAGGUUUGGUAGUUGUUCUGUUUUAUCUUCAGUUUCAUUUUGUGAUCACAGAAACGUUAGGACUUGCUUGCAUGAACGCACAUUAAACCACGGAAAUUUUGUCAGACAUGCACGCAAAUGAAAUUUUAUCAGCAGUCUUGUAAUUUUCUAUUUUUGUUGUUGUCGUCAUUUUUUUACUACUAGUACUGUUUGAAAUUCUAGUAUUUUGGAUGUGAAAUUUAUUAUAUUAUGAUAGGUCCCAGUCAGAAUUAGCGGAAACAACAAGUAAAUAAUUUGUUCUUCUUAGGGUAAGAACUACCGCAAUUGCUAAUUGAAUUAGAUAAAAGUCUGAUAUCUUUUUAUUGAAUUAUUCGAGUCUAUUUAUAGAACAAAAUUAAUGAAAUAAAGUAGUUAAAAUCAAUUAAACCACUUAGCUAUAAUUUCGAAGUAAAUAAUAAUCUUAAAGGAAUCAUGAUUAAAUCUGAAUUCUUCAUCAAUACGGCUUGACUUAGUAAGCUUUCCGUUGAUUUUGUGAAGAGUCCUUGAAGGAACGUGAUGCCCACCUCAUGCAUGGCUUGCAUGUUACUUGCAUGUGCCCAUACAUUUUCGUUAUUGGCUUGCAUGGUUGCUUGCAUGUGCCCAUGCAUAUUCGUCAUAUUUGUUGUUGGGUUUUGCUUCUCACUUGGACUUGCGUAUACUCUUAUCAUAUUAGAUAUUCGACAUAUAUAUGAUGCUGAAUACAGGGUAUGUGUUGUCUAAAUUUAUUUUAUUUUGUUUGCUUCACAUCCAAUUUUCAAAAGCUUUGAAGAAUGCUAAGAGAAGGAGCAAAGGGCUAAAGAGUCAAAUGUAACAUUGCUAUUAAUUUGUUAAUUGCCAUCAUUUUUAAUUUUUGCCCUGCUUGUUCUGUUUACUCAUUUAUUUCACUUGGUUUUGCUCCACGUCUAUCUUUCCUAACUUAGGAAGGCAAGGAUUUUGAAAGUUCUGAAGAAGAUUCAGGUCACUCGUGUGAAUAAGAGCUGUGUUACUGUUUAAAAGUUUUCAUGCUCUGGAAUAAAAUUUGCUUUACUGUGUUACUGGUCAACUUCAUUAUUCUACUAAUGCUUUACUUCAUCUUCAUUGUAUCACUACAUUGACAGCGUUGACAGUGUAAGAGUCGUUUUCACGAUUUUUAAGAAAUUUUGAUCACAUUAAACUUUUGAUCUGAGUUCAUAACAAAAAUCAAAACGGCGCAUGACAUCAAGAUUAUGAUGAAUCAAAUUGAACUCCCAAUACGUUAGUUCAUAAAAAAUGCUUUUCUUCUUCCAAGUAAUCUUAUCAUUUCUUUCAUUUUAUUCAUUCUCCUCUUUUCUCCUCUUUUCAAGUCUUCAAUCUUAUACUCAGUAAGUACAUUACUGAACUGCUUUUUCACCUCAGCUCCAGACAACCGAGAAGGUGCUUGUCCGGUUGUCCCCACUCUCUAGUUUUAUCAGAUGGCACUAUAUUUUCGGAACCUAUGAUUUGUUGGUAAAAAUCGACGGUGACCCACGUGACAAUUUUCUACUAUGUAUCAACCAAUUAGAUCUAGUGUUUUGUUGGCAAACAAGAAAUGCUUAUUUACCUUUAAUACUCCACCCAAACAAGUUGGCAUAUGCUAGAAAGUCGGAGAUAGUCCAUAACAAUGCUGCGUGUGACUUGAACAUUUGAUUAUGUGAUGCAUUAUGCAUCAUUCCAACCAUACUAGCAUCACUACCCGAGUCAUGACUAACCUGUUUCUUAGUUAGAUUUCAAAGAUGAAGAUGGCUCACCCUCCAAUAUCCAGUUUUAAUACUUUAACCAAUAGCCAUUUAUAAUGAUAUGGUCUCUUGCCACUUUCCUUAUAAGGAAAUAUCGAUAUUACGACACUUCUUAGAAGGACAAUAAAUUCUUUUAUCACCAACAACAUUCUCAAAUGCAAAAUCUAUAAAUUUUUUGACCCAUCAGUAUAUGAAUUGGAUAUCUAUUUGGCAAACCAACCCAACUCUGGUCCAUGACUAUGUCCUUUUAAUGCACUAGAAAAAUUAGUUAAAUAAAUCACUUUAAUUCUUCAUUUCUACUACUAAACAAGAUAUUUUCAUGUGUGCGCAGUUUCGCAAUAUAAUAAAAAAAAUUAUUAUACAAUUUUAUGGUUAAUCUCAUUAGAACGUUUAUAUAUAUGGAAGCAAGCAAAGCCACAAGAAUCAGAGAAAAAGAUGUGAAAAUUAAAGUAUAUAUACAACAAUAAUUAAUCUAAAAAACAGUUUGCAAUACCUUCUGUAAAGAAAUAUCCUCACCCACUGCUGAGAACUUCACUUGGCUAUCAAUUACAGAUAUAUAAAGCCUGUUACCUAGAAACAAAAAAUUAGGUCAGCCAGCUAAAACAUAUUUAUAAACCAACAUUGGAGAUAGUACUCCAUUUAUAAACAAAAUUACAAGACUCAAAACCAAGUCGACUCAGCAAAAUCAUAACCGAUUACAUUCAUCCCACUCAGCUCCUCCACUCCCAUCAAUAUAUCCAACAUUCCCUUCAUAUUUACAAAAGGUAAGUGGUCCUAUAUAUCCCACUCAAGAAUGCAUAAGUUUCUUCAAUCUUAAGUAUCUAAAGUUUUCCUCUACGUUUAUAGAAACUUCGGAAGCAUCUCCCUAUAGUUCUUCAAGUACACGACAUAGAUAUAUGAAUGUUUAUGUGUUAUGCCAAAACAACACAUGACACCCAUUUGUCUAGUAUGCACCCAGAGAACAUGAGGAGCAGCUGCUGAAAAACCCAUUUUUACGUGGGAAAAAAAUUUCAGGCACUAGCUGCCAUAGAAAUCUAUGCAUUACCAAACUGUCCAAGCCUAGAUAUUUCAAGAAUUAUUAAUAGACAUAAGAUCCUCACUAUCAUCCAAAAGAUGACACUAAUAAAACAUGUGUCUAUUAAUAAUUUCUUAAAGGAGUUUAAGCUUUCAAUGCAUGUAUCAAAAGUUUAAAAUUGAAUCUGAAACUUGAAUAACACAUAAAAAUCAUAAAUCUCUUCAAUUUAUUCCUAAUAAAAUGUAGCAUUUUUUCACAUUUCAUUUCUUAAGCAAAACCAUAAAAAAUUACAAACAAUAAAUACAUUUUCUAGCACUGAUGCACAUUAUGUUUACUGAGCAAUAAGUUUUAAGUCAUUCAUAUUAAAAUACUUCUUCCUAUUCUAUCAACAAAUAACUAGUACGUACACACAAUUAAUAAAUUAAAUGUAACCUGGUUGUGAAUCUUGCAAAGUCUUCCUAUUUUUUUUUUUUUUUUUUGGUGGGGGGGGGGGGGGAGGGGGGAGGGGGUGGUUAUGCUCAUUUGUGUGUUGUUAACAGAAAUUGAUCCAAAGCCUCAGUUUUAAUUAGCUUCAUUAUAGCCAAUGAUUAGGUGUUUAAAAACCAAUGAAUAUUUUUUAUAAGAAAUCAACAAUAUUGUUGAAAGAAAAACCAAAUAAAAAUAAUAAAGCAAUGCAUAGAUUAAGGCUCUUUAUUAUCUAAUAACUAAUCAAACUAAGUUGUGGGUAAAGGAGAAUAUGUUUGUUUGGCCAAUAAUAAACUCAAGGAAUCACCAAUAAUCACCUAGUUACUAUUCCUUAUGCCAUGCAAUGUAAUGGCGUCGGUAAUGGCGACAAGGCAGGCAAUAACUAGCUAGCUAGUUAUGAUAGUUGCUUAACUUAACCUACUGGAAAUCUGAAGACCAAAAUGAAGAAACUUUGCCUAGAACUAGAAUAGGAAAACAUUCAUACCCAAAACCAAUAUACAUGAUUAAGAAACUUGAUUAUAUGUAUAUUUUUGUUUGCCACACCAAAUCCCACUAUUUCCAUACUCAUAAGCACAAAAAACCAUCGCAAAAAUGAAUGACCAUAUAAAAUAAAAUAGGUCGCAGGACAUUGAGAAUAGGACAAUAUGAUUUAUGUACUGUAAAAUAACUAUAUCUGCAGUCAACUAUAUUUCUGUUAGAACUCUAAAGUUUUCCAUUAAAUUUUUUUCCCUGUUAGGUAAACCACUUAACUGAAACACUUAAGCAAGAUUGACAAUCAUAGACAUAAAAGUAUUAAUAGGCUCAUUCAAGUGAAAUGAGCAUUAUUUCACAUAUCCUUUAGGCUUUUAAGUCAUUUAGAAGUCAUUCAUGUUAAACAAUUUCUUCAUAUACUUUCAAUAUAAUUAGUACAUACACAAUUAAUUAAUUAAAUAAAUCUGUUUCAGCUAGCACAGGAACUUAAGCAAUCAGAGCUAUUAGUUAUAGCUAGGACUUGAAUGAGGCACCUUUCAAAGUUCAAGAGGAGCAUCUGAACAGAAUGAAAGCAGUUUGUAGAAAUGGUAGUGAUGCUUUACAUCUACAUGCUCUUACACAAUAUGAACUUUCAUUUAUUCAAGAACAUAACACUAAUCCAAGCUCUUACUCUACAAGUCAAUUCAGUUUGUAGAUGCAAGCCAUUGUAAAAACUUUUGUGUUAUAAUUUCCGUAAAUGGAACAUGACAUUACUAAUAUAGAAUCAGCAAUGUUAUAUAACUUAUCAGACAAUAUAACAAGCACUUGGCGAGCAUAUAAGAUAAACUAAAACAAGUUAAUUAGAAAAUGAAACUAAAACCCAAGCUCCGCUAUUCAUUGUAGAAGCUUUAAACAUAAAAUUAAACUAAAUCUAAUGCCAAAACAUUAGAAUGGAUGUUGGAAUUAAAGCUAAAUUCAAUAGUAAUCCAAAUGAAUCCAUUUGAACUUUGUAAACUCCGCAGAACAAAAUUAAUUUGAGUGAGCAAACUCACCAAUGGCACAAGAACAGAAGGGCUUCAACUUCUAGGAACAAAAAACAUUGCCGGUGGGACAAAAAUUGACAUUAAUGGCUACAAUACGAAUUAAAGAGAUCAAAACCUAUAAUUACAAGCUAAGAAAGAGAGGAAACUCAUAAUCACAAGCUUACCUGAAACGAAGAGAGAGAAUAAGAUGAAGAAGAAGAUCGCUGCCGUUUUACGCCAUUCUCCGGCUACCAGUAAGGUUUAGGAUGCUGGCCAGGCACGAGAGAGAAUUUGGGACUUUGGUCUUCAAAAUAUUGACUCCAGCAAAUAGUUUUCUAUUUAGAAACAAAUUUAUAACUCUACCGUCACUCUCUACCGUCACGUGGUUAGUAACAUAAGUGAGAGCAGUCUAGCCGUCACAUAAACGGUCACAAAAGCAACUGGCUGUUACAAGUUUAGGAAUGGCAGAUAUUGCCGCGGGGACAUGACCCUCGAGAUUUUCCCAAUUCAGGUGGGUACAUAAUUUUUUACUUAAUUUUUUAUUUGAAAAGGAGACGGAGAUAGUUUUUUUACCUAAUUUCUUAUUCAGAGAAAGAAUGGGGGAUCGGCAGAAUCCCUAUUCUCUUCUAAUUUUUUGAUUUAAUUUUAUUUUUUAAAAUUAUUUGUAAAUAAAUAAUAAAAUAUAAAUAAUAAAAUAUUAAAUAUUAGUAUAAAUAAAAAAAUAAAAUAAUUAUAUUAUUAAAAUUUAGGCCUAAUUGACUACAUUAAUAUUUGGAUGAGAAAGUUAUGCUUAGGAUGAAAGAUUUUAAUAUUUUGAGUUGGUGUAAAAUAAAUGUCUAUAGAUAUCCUAUACUGGCAUGAAUUGCUAGAGAUAUUUUGGCAAUUCUAAUUACAAAUGUUGCUUCUGAAUUAGCUUUUAGCACCAGUGGUAGAGUACCGUAACACGCUUUAUUCAAGCACAUUGGAGGCUUUAAUAUGUUGUCAAAGUUGACUACAAGCUUACAAUGACAGUAUGAGUUUAUUUUACAUUGUAAUUAUAUUAUAUAAUUAUUAAUAUUUUCACUUAGAAUUUACAUUACUUAUAUUAUUUUUGUUGUUUUAAAUUUGAAAUCUGAGGCUAUCUCUCAAUUUGUCACAUUCCUCGAGGAAGAACAAGAAGAGUAGGAGACACAAGAGGUAAAUACUUUUAUUAGAAAUAUUGAUUAAGUAUCUAUAUUCAUUUCAUUUAUCUCAUUGUUGAUAUAAAAGUAAUUUCUUUUUUUUUAUUAUAUGAUUUUGAAGAUUGCCGAAGAUAAUUAUUAUGGUGAUUUAUACUUUGUAAUGUGACUUUUGUAAUAGAUUAAUGUUAAUGUAAGAUAUAUCGUCAAACUUUAUUUUUAUUUUUAUUUUUUAUUUUAAUAUGAUUAAAUUAAAAUUUAAAACUAAAAACGUAUCAGUUAUUCGAGAAUCGAGGACCUUUAAGGAUCCCCUAUUAUUAUUUGGGGAGGGGAGGGGGAUUCCCUAAAGCAAUUUUGUGAAUGGGAAGAGGCCAGGGAUAUAUACAGAAUAUCGAGAAUGGGUACGGGGAGGUCGGUCUCUUCCCCUCCCCUUCCCAUUGCCAUUCCUAACAAAGUUGGCAAUACAUGUACGGGCCGCUUUUGUAAAAUUGCUUUAAGGGUCGUUUGGGAUUGCUUUUGGGAAUAGCAUGCAAGAUAUAUAUAAAAAAUAAAAUCGUAGAAUAACUUUUACCUCUAAUUCGAUUUUUUCUUCUUUUUUGUAAAUUAUUAUGCAUUUAUAUUAAAGUCACUGUGUAUGAUUGGAUUAUUAAAAGUUAUUUGAGAGAAUAUGAAUUGACUUAAUAAGUUAUUACGUGAUUGAUGAUGAUCAGAGCUUACCCAACUGGCAUUAAGUGGAAAAGACUCGAGGAUGACUUUGCAGAGCGAUUUCCCACAACACCUUUUUGGCAGUCUUAAACUACUACAAACAGUGGAUGAUGACUCAACUUGUUUUCCACUUGAUUUACUUGAGAGAUUUCAUAAUCUGGAAACUCUCAUACGGCGUCGUUGUUCAUGCGAAGAGGUAUUUUCGAAUGGAGGAUACUUGAAGAAACAUGUGAGGAAGUUUACAAUGAUAAAACAUUUAGAUCUGCACAAAUUUAAUCAUCUGAAGCAAUUGUGGAAACAAGACUCCAAAUUGGACUCGUUUGUUCAAUGCCUUGAAAUUCUAAAUGUACAUUAUUGUCAAAAUCUGUUAAUUCUUUUGUCUUUGCUGCUAAUUCUUUAAUUCUUUUCGGUUCUUAAGUUUCUCUGUGAUUUGUUCUGGAUUGAUUCUUUUUGCAUCUUGGUUGUUUGAUUUGCGAUCUUGGCGAGUAUUUGGAGUUGAUCAUUAUCGAAUCUGUCACUCCAAACUCUACAGCGACUCUUAUCAAUGUUGGUAUAUGGAUGCAGAGCAAUGAGAGAGGUGGUGAUAAAUGACGAAGAUGGAGCAGCAAAUUUUGAAGAAGAGAUUGUUUUCACCAAAUUGAAGAUUUUGUAUCUGUAUGAUUUGGAUAGUCUCACAAGUUUCUGCUCUGCCAAUUACACCUUCAAAUUCCCAUCUUUGGAAGAUUUAUCUAUAAUUGGUUGUCCCAAGAUGAAGAUUUUCACUAAAGGAGAAUUAAACGCGCCUCUCAGAGUAAACUUCUACUAUGGAGAGAGAGACGAUCAACAGCCUUGGGCUAAUAAUGAUCUUAACACAAUCAUACAGCAUUUACAUGCUGAGAAGGUACGAAUAACUCACUAUCACCAGUGGAAAAAUUUUAUAAAAUUUCUCUUUUAAAUAAAAUGCACCAAAUAGAUCAGAUAUUUGUUAUAAAGUAAGUUUAUGAUCACGUACUGGCAGAUGGGAUACAUAUGUGCUUCAUUCUUGAAACUCUACCCUAUUUAAAAUUGAUAUUUUCACAAGAGUUAGAGAAUCCUAUUCAUUCAAUUAUCCAAAAUCAGAGAAUCUUAUUCAUUCAAUUACAAAAUUUCGUUAAUCGUUAGUUUUUAACUUCAUUACUGUAUGGAAGUCCUGUCAAAUUAAAUUGCUGUUGUUAAAUUUAUUAAAUCUCUUGCUUCCCUGCAAAUCUCUGCGUGCUUUACUUUUAAUUGAAACUAAUGAAUGAAAAUUUUACUUUCAGCUGUUGGAGGGGUCCUCAUCUUAUUCAAUGAUGUAUAUGUCCUAAUGGCAUUGGCCUUUUACUUUAAUUACAAGCGAGUUGUGAAUUUGAAAAACAAAGUCCCAGGUAAUUCAAUUUCAUUUCAUUUUAUUUUAUUUCUUGGCUUGUUUUAUCGCUUCAUCUAAAUUGUUUGGAAUACACCACUAGUUUAUUUUUACUUUUAGAAUGAGUUUUAAUGUUUUGUUCUGAGAUUUAUAUGCUGAUUUUAUAUCAUUAAAGGUCUUAGUGACUUAGUUUGGUCUUCACUUAUUUAUUUAUUUAUUUUUUUGACGUCGUGGCUUUAUAAUGUGUUUUUUUUUUUAAUUUUGAAUUUUAUAAUUCCUUGAAAAUGUCAUUGAAAGGGCCAGCACUUUUAUGUGGAAACCAUCUCAUCCUCCUUAUUUCAAACUAUUAAACAACCAAAUGUAUCCUAACAUAUAUGUUUAGAAUCAAUCUACUCAUUAAGAUAUAUGGUAAUGGUGUCAUCUGUUUGCUAUAGUUUGAUUACAAGAGAACUUUUCCAUUUGUUAGUUGCCAUCUUUGUUGAUCUGUUAAUUCAGUCUUCUUCUGUUUGUCCUGUUUAUCUGUUUAUUUCAACCUUUCUUUCAAAACUUAGAAGGUAUGGAAAGAGCAAGUACUUAGAAAUUGCGAGAAUUAUAUCAAAUCAUGCAUAUAUGCCCCUGCCUAUGAACUCUUAGGAACAAUCGAAUAUCUUUCCUUGAAUAGCAUAAAACAAAAUCUACAGAUCAUUAAACCAUCAAAAGUUAGCUAUGAACAACUAUAUAAAAAUCAUUUGUUUCUCACCUUUUCGUGAGUCUGAGAAGUUGUAAAUUCUACUGAGUUUCUCACCUUUUUUUUUUUUUGGACAAUUGGAGUUUUUAGUUUAUGAAACUUAAUGCCUAUAUUUCUCACAUUGUAAAAGUGUUUUGAAAAGAUGGUUUAUAUUGCACCAUAAAAAUGUGGUCUGAUAAACCAACAGGGGAGUAGUUUGAUCCAGUUACGUGAAAUGCAUGCAAAAUAAUAUUUUCUCUAUAGUUACUGAAGAGAAUUUUGGUCACUUUGGUGUGCAUUAUCUGGAAUAAAGUCGUUUUCCAGUUUCUUCAAAGUUUAUGUGCGGAGGACUUCCGGUUUCCAUCUCAAGUUCAAAUACUAAUAAAGAUGAGUAAAUUCAUCAUCCGUGUGUCUGCUCUUUCUAUGCAUUUUGACAUUUUUUAUUAAUGCGUCUUUAACAGUAGUUUUUUUUCACAGAAAAAAUUGUCAGUAUUUUGUGUCAAAUAAAAAAUUAAAAAAUAUAUAUGUAUUUUGGGCGAAACUUUUUGCGAAAAAUAAUGAGUGCCAACACUUUAUAACUUAAUAUGUAUUUUGGGCUUGGCGAAGUUACGGUUCAUGUAACUAAUCAAUUUAAUCAUUACCGGAUAAAAUUGAAUACACCAGUAGUGUUUUUCCACGGAGAUAUUGCCAAAUUUUGUGUCAAAUAAAGAAUAAAAACCAUAAAUACCAGUAGUGUCCGAUUUUGAAAGCAAAGCAGCAUACAUAUUAACUACUAGGCUUUGAUGGUGGUUGCAGUAAAAAGGAUUAAAAGAGAGAGAGAGAGAGAACUUGAAAACUAUGGAAUGGAAGAUAAAUCAAAGUUAUAAAUUUGGACUCAAUAGUUUUGAUGUUCAAUCAAAUAUGGAGGGGCGAUUAGAAAUUAUCAAAAAUUUAGAGGGAUUUCAACCGUUCAAUUCAUUAUUAGGCGUUGUAGACUGCAGGGAUGCAGAAAUUUCCACAGGGACGAUGGCCCCGAGGGAUCUUCCUCAUUCGGGAGUUUGAUAAUUUUAGAUCUAAUUUUUCUAUGUGGAGACAAGACUGUGAUCAAUUAAUAUGUGUGGGUGUAAGUUACAUGAAAUAUAACUUAGUGUUUGCCCUAAUAUUUUAUUUGGCUCCACAUUUUUCUAUUUCUAUCUUUAGUUCUAUUUUUAAUUAAUUUAUUUCAAAUUUAUAGUAAAUACAUUUAAAAUUUCAAUUAUAAUAGUGUGAUGUAAAUAAAAAAUAUCACAAUACAUUUAUAAAAAUAAUAUAAAUAACAGCCAAUAUAAAGUAAAUAUAAACAUUUUAAAAUUGACAAAGAUAAUUUAAUUGAUGGUUUAUACUAUAUGACAUUUAUGGAUGAGUUCAACUUUGAAGAUUUACUUUUGCUUAAUUAGUUCAAAGAUUAUCUUCUAAUUUGAUGACAUUGACUUAAUUUGAUGGAAAUGAUUUUAAUCACUUUAGUUAAUUUGAUAUUUUUUGUGUUAAUAUGAUUUUAUAUUUUUACUUUAAGAUGAUUAAAUUAAGAAAAAAAAGAAAUUAAAUAAUCAGAGAUCGGAUAGCAUCGGAGAUCCCUUUGUAUUAUUUAGAAACAUCCAUCCCCUUCUUUCAAGUGAUUUUGAAGGAAAUGUCUAGAGUACAAAGAGAUAGACAGAGUAUUAAAGAUGAGUAUGGGGAAAUCAAUCCCCUCUCCUUCCCUUCUUAUUGACAUCUUUACAUGUGAGCCCAAGGGGAAAUGCACCAUGCCUGAUAAAAGUAAAAUUAAAAAUAAAAAUUUUCUUUUAUCAAAUCACUCUAUGUGGUGGAGAUUAUUGUAUAAUCAAGUACACAUGGCAUUUUUAAAAGCUUUUUCUUUAUUUAAAGCUCUAAAGGUUUGCCUAAGAGUCAAGGUUGGUGCCGUUCUUCUAGAAGAACAACCCGUAUCUUUUGAUAUUCAAAGUUUGAAUAUCAAGUUCAAACUUUAAAUUUUGAAAUAAUAAUAAUAAUAAAUAUAAAAAGUGCCAAAUUUUUAGCUAUAAAUAGAGGGGUUCACCCCCUCAUUUCACUCAUUCCAUUCUUUUCUUCUUUAGUUCUAUAAUGAGAGAGUAAGAGUUUUAUACUCUUGAGUGACUAGUGUUUAGAGAGAUUGGGUGUAUUAAGGUUUUGAUAAGUGAAACAAAAUACUAAAAUACUUAUAAUUCUCAUUUCACUAGUAAAGUUUUAUCCUUUUGUCCUUGCCUAUGGGCAUAAGUUAAAAGCCGAACCAAAUAAUUUAUGGUGUCCUCUGUGUGCUUGUUCUUCAUUUUCUUCCAAUUUCAUUUUAGUCGUGGCCCUACUUCACCAAUCAAUUUUCUAAUAGUGGUAUUAGAGCCGGGUUGUAUUUUUUGGGGUCGAGAUACUAUUUACAUAUAUUGUAUUGUUCAUGUAUAUGAUAUUGUUUCUGUAUACGACACUUUAUUCAUAUAUACAGUUACUGCUCAUGUGAAAUGGUAGGAAUCGAUCUUAGCAAAGGUAGCUCGUGGUGAAAAGUGAUGGCGGAAAAAUACAAAAUUGAGAAGUUCAACAGAAAUAAUUUUUCGUCAUGAAAAAUGAAGAUGAAGGUUGUAUUGAGGAAAAGUAAUUGCUUGGCAGCAAUUGAAGAGAGGCUCACAAAGAUAACUAAUGAUGGCAAGUGGAAUGAGAUAGACAAUAAUGCCAUUGCAUAUCUACACUUACCACUUUCAGAUAGGGUAUUUUUCAAUAUGGUAGAGUAAAAGAGAGUAAAGGAAAUAUGGUUUACUCUCACAAGACUAUACGAGGUCAAAUCACUACAAAAUAAAAUCUUCUUAAAGAUGAGGCUUUAUACUCUUCAAAUGGAGGAAUCUACAUCAGUGAUCGACCAUAUCAACACUUUAAAGACUUUAUUUUCAUAACUUACAACGUUGGGUCAUAAAAUAGAGGAAAAUAAACAUAUAGAGCUUUUACUUCAAGGUUUACCAGAUUCGUAUGAUCAAUUCGUCAUUAAUAUAACUAAUAACAAUCGAGCAAACAAGUUAGUCUUUGACAAUAUGGCAGCCUCCGUAUUAAAUGAGGAGAGUAGCAAAAAAUAAAAAAGAUAGACAGAAGAGUUCGCAACAAGUAGAAGCGCUAUUGGUGAUGAAAGGAAGAUCCAUGGAACGUGGCCCUAGUGAGAGCCACAGUCACGGUAGAUCAAAAUCUAGAAGUAAAAAGAAUGUCAAAUGCAACAACUGUUGCAAGAAAGGGCAUGUCAAGGAAGAGUUUUGGAACAACUAGAAGAGAAGAGAUGGUAAAGAUUCUGAGUCAUCAAAUGCUCAAGGGUAUGUAGUAAGUACCUCGUAUGAUGGCAAAAUUCUCUACAGUAAGGCAACAACUGCUUCAGAAGAUAGAAAACCACUAUAUGACAUCUGGCUUAUAGACUUAAUAGUUGCCUGGCACAUGAUCUCUCCAAGAGAAUGAUUUCACAAAUAUGAACCUAUUUCAAGAGAAUUUGUAUACAUAGGUGAUGAUUAUGCCUUUGAGAUUACUGAUAUUGGUACUGUCAAAAUAAAUAUGUUUAAUGGUAUGGUUCGCACAAUUGAGAAGGUAAGACAUGUCAAAGACUUGAAAAAUAUCUCUUGUCUUUAGGACAAAUAGAUAGUCUUACGCGCAAAACUCAUGUAGAAAAUGGGAUCAUAAAGAUAGUCAAAGGCGCACUUGCAUUAAUGAAGGUGGAAAAGAUCGGUGAUAAUUUAUUCAUGCUUAAAGGGAAACACUACAGAAAGCUUUUGUGUCAGUCACAUCAAAUAGAGAAAAUUCAGUGAUGAUGUGGCAUCUUAAACUUGGCCACAUGUCAAAACAAGGAAGCAACAUAGAUGAAAGUUUAGCAGAUCCACUUUCAAAAGUAAAUGUAUUUUAGACUUGAUUCAUUCUAAUGUUUGGGAAUCAAUUGAUAUAUCUAUGGGAGGUGCAAAGUACUUGGUGACUUUUAUUAAUGAUUAUUCUAGGAGAUAUUUGGUGUAUCCAAUCAAGAAAAGGUCAAAUGUAUUUCCAUUGUUCAAAGAAUUCAAAGCGUAGAUUGAACUUAAAUCAGGGCAAGGGAUCAAGUGCCUGAGGACAGACAAUGGUGGAGAGUAUACAAAUAGCAUGUUUCUUGCAUAUGUAAGCAAGAAAGUAUCUAGAGAUAGUUCACGGUGGCAUACACUCCUCAAUAAAAUAGAGUAGUAGAGUGAAAGGGCAUGACUCUUAUAAAAAAAAAAAGAGUUAUGUUGAGAAAUGCUGGUCUACCAACUCAUUCUAGGUGGAAGUAGCAAAAACUACUUAUUAUGUGGUAAGUGGGUCAUCAUUCAAUGCAACCGGGUUGAAAAUUCCAAUGGAAAAAAUAGACAGGAAAGCCAGUUGAUUACUCUCAUCUCAGGCAUUUUGAUGUCCUUUUACGUGAUAUACAAUACCCAAGUGAGAUUAAAGAUGGAUCCAAAAUCCAAGAGAUGUAUCUUCUUAGGAUAUAUUGAUGGAGUGAAAGGGUAUUAUCUGUGGGACCUCAAUGCCCAUAAGAUCGUUAUCAGUAGAGAUAUUAUCUUUGUAGAAGAUCAAAUGCAAAAGAGAGAUAUGGAUGAUAGCACUAUAAAAAUUCAGAGAUUGUGCUAAUAUAUGUUGAAAAUAAUCUGGAAAAUGAAGAUUUAGAUUUUUUUGAAGCAGCACCAAAGUAUGAGAACAAGAACCAAUCGAGUCUGAGGCCCCAAAAGUUUGUUGGUCAACUCGUGAUAGAUAAUUGUCAGUGUGGCAUUUGGAUUAUGUCACAGAUAUCAAUUUUGCAUACUGUCUUUUAAUAGAGAAUGGAAAGCCAUCAACUUUUCAUGAAACCUUAAACAGCUCAGAUGUUACUUUGUGAAUGAUAGCAAUGCAGGAAGAAAUUAAGGCUCUACACAAGAAUAUGACAUAGGAACUCGUACUACUACUAUAUGAAAAAAAAAAGACCCAUUGGUUGGAAAUGGGUCCAUAAGAUCAAACGUGAUGGUAAUAACCUAGUGGAGCGGUAUCAUGAAAGAUUGGUGAUGGAAGAAUAUCCUUAGAAAGAAUGUAUUAACUUCAAUGAGAUAUUUUCUCCAGUGAUUUGACUCAGGACAGUCAGAGUGGUCUUGUCGAUGUGUGCUACAUUUGACCUAUAUUUGGAGCAGUUAGAUGUGAAAAUUUCAUUUCUUUAUGGAGAACUUGAAGAAAAGAUUUCUAUGCUCUAACUAGAAGGUUUUACUAAAAAGGGACACUUGGUUUGCAAGUUAAACAAAUCUCUAUACGAUCUCAAACAUGCACCGAGAUGUUGAUAUAAGAGAUUUGAUCCAUUCAUCAUAAACCUUGGAUACAAUAGAAUCAGUUCAGACUGUUGUACAUAUUACAACAAGUUUGAUAAUAAUAAUUUCAUCAUUCUACUGUGGUAUGUUGAUGACAUAUUAGUAGCAGGCCCCAACAAAGAUCGAGUCCAAGAACUAAAGCACAGUUAACUAGGGAGUUUGAAAUAAAAGACUUAGAACCAGCAAACAAGAUUUUAGGGAUGCAAAUUCACCGAGAUAGUAAUAGCAAAAAGAUUUGGCUUUCUACCCCGCCUCCCAUUAAUUUCAAGUUAUUCUUAAGUAUUCAUCUAGUAAUGAAGUAGAGAAGAAGAGAUGUCUUGAGUACUGUAUGCAUCAGCAGUGGAAAAUUUAAGGUUCGCUAUGAUUUGUACAAGUAGUGGGAGAGGUUAGUCGAUACAUAGCGAAUCCUUGCAAAGAACAUUGGAAGACUAUUAAGAGGAUUCUGAGAUAUAUCAUAGGAACAUCAGAUGUUGCAUUAUGUUACGAAGGAUACUGUCAAGGGCCAUGUGCAUUCAGAUUUUGCAGAAAAUCUUAAUAAAAAAAAAUCCACUACUGGCUAAGUAUUUGCACCAGAAUGAGAAAUUGUUAGUUGGAUUUCAAAAUUGCAGACCAUUGUGGCUUUAUCAACAACAGAAGCAGAUUACAUAGCAGCUACACAAGCUUGGAUGAGCUAUUUAGAUACAAAGGUUACUGAAGGAGCUUGGGCAUAAAAUUUUUUAUGGCUUGUGAUAGUUAGAAUGCAAGGAAUCCAACCUUUUAUUUUAGGACAAAGAAUAUAGGAGUACAAUAUCACUUCUUCGUGAAGUAGUGAAAGAUAUAAGAGUGGAUACCAAGGAGAACUUAACAAAUGUUUUGCCCAAGCCUAUCAAUGCUGAUAAAUUUGUUUGGAGUAGAUCAUUUUACGGCCUAGUAGAGACAUAAACAACAUGACAGCGGCGAAGUAGAAAGGAUGGUGUGGAGAUUGAUUGAUUCUCAAUCAAAUUUCUAAGUGGGAGAAUAUCAAAGUCAAUGUCGCUUUUCUAGAAGAGCGACCAAUACCUUUUGAUAUUCAAAGUUUGAAUGUCAAGUUCAAACUUUGAAUUUAAUAUAUAUAUAUAUAUAUAUAUAUAUAUAUAUAUAUAUAUAUAUAUAUAUAUAUAUAUAAAUAGUGCCCAAAAUUUUAACUAUAAAUGAGGGGUUCACCCCUGCAUUUCAUUCUUUUCUUCUUCAAUUCUAGUGUGAGAGACUAAGAGUUUUAAUGCUCUUGAGUGAUUAGUGUUUUAAGAGAUUGAGUGGAUUGGGGUUCUGGGAAGUGAAACAAAAUAUUAUAAUACUAGUAAUCCUCAUUUCACCACUAAAGUUUUAUCUUUUGUCUUUACCCAUAGACGUAGGUUAAAAGUCGAACCACGUAAUUUUUAGUGUCCUCUGUGUGCUUGCUCUUCAUUUUCUUCCAAUUUUAUUUUAGCUAUGGACCUACUUCACCAGUAAAUUGAAGACGUUGGAACUGCGUGAUUUAGAUAGCCUCACAAGUUUCUGCUCUACCAAUUACACCUUCAAAUUCCCAUCUUUGCAAGAGUUAUGUGUGAUUGGUUGUCCCAAGAUGAAGAUUUUCACUACAGGAGAAUCAAUCACGCCGAGUAAACGUCUGCUAUGGAGAGACAGCGGAUCAACGGCGCUGGGCUAAUAAUGAUCUAAACACAACCAUACAACAAUUACAUGCUGAGAAGGUACGUAUAUACAUAUUACUCUCUAUCUCCCAUGAUAAAUUUUUACAAAAUUUGCUUUCUUAAAUACAAUAUAGAUAAGAUAUUUGAUGAAUAAGAAUUUUAUUUUAAGCUGUUGGCGGUGUCGUCGUCAUACUCUACGCAGUAGUACGACUAAUGUCAUAGGCUUCUUAUGACCUGGAGUUGCGAAUUUUUAGAAGAAAGUCUCAACUGGUAAUUAAUUUUUAUUUCAUUUAUUUAAUCCCAUGGCUUGUUUCGCAAUUUCAUCUGAAUUAUUUAGAAUGGGUCCCUCGGUUUACUGUUAAAUUUGCAAUGCAAUUUUAAUGAUCCUUUCAGACUUUUAUGGACAGAUUUUGCAAAAUUGAAUGUCUUUUAGUCUAGUUUAAUUUGAGUUUUUCUUUUUUUUUUUAGAGCUCCCCAUGUUUUCUAAAAUUUUAUAAUUCCUUGCAUACUUUUUAGGAUAAAAUUUCAUUAAAAGCCUUCAUAUUUUAUAAUUCCUUGAAAACUUGCAUACUUUUUCCUUUUUUUUUCUUGCCAAUUAUUUAUUGUCAUCAUUGCUGUUCUUUUAUUUUAGUUUGUGCUCUGUUUGUUCAUUGGGUUUGCUUUUCGGAAAGUUAGAAGGCAAGGAAAGUACUUAGAAAAUGUUCUUCCCUAUGAACACAUAAUUAACAGCUGAAUAUCAUUCAUUGGAUUAAAAAAAAUUAAAAUAAAAAAAAGUAAUAAGCCCAUUAUUCCUAGAACAAAUCCUUAAACCAUCAAACGUUAGCUAUGAACAAGUAUAUUGGUCUAUAGCAUAUUCAUAAUAUUUUCUCUGCUGUUCCUGUUAAAAUUUCUCUACUCAAUGAUCGCAGAAUAUCUGGAUACUGAUGAAGAUUUAAGUCACUCUUCUUCUAUGAAUAAGGUCGUUUUUCUUUUUUCUUCUAUUCAAAGUUUCCAUUCUGAGCAGUUCCCAUUUCCAUCUUCGUGAUCUUCUUGUGAUAGUGUGAGUUACAACCUGUCUGUUUCCUUUGUUUGAUCAUUGCAAGUUCAAAGACAUUUUAUUCUAGCUAAGCUCUUUGUAUGUAUUAUAACAUUUUUAUUCUCAAUAUAUAUAUGACUCAAUGAGAGGUCUUUUAUUAUAUUUAUGUCGUGAAUUUCUAUUGUAUUGUGACAUUUGAUGGUGUAUCAUUGUCUCAUUGCAAGGUCUUGUAAUCACUCUGAUUCUCAUUUGAGGAGGUUGGUCUCGUCUAUGUGUAUGUAUUUAUAUCCACAAGAAAUUUGAUAAAUGGUCUUGUCAUUUUCUCAUCAAAACAUCUAGUGCUUCAUAUGUUGGAGGGCUACCAGGCAUCAGGGCCAGUUUUUUAAACUCAAAGUUCUUCCUGUCAUUUUUUAACAAUAAUAAGGAAAGCCCAAGAGAAAAUCUAGAAGUCCUAAUAAGGACCGCUUCUGCAUAUAUUGUUCAUUUUCUUAAUUACCUUCAUUAUUAUUUUCGUUUUCAAUCGAUCAAACUUCAGUUUCUUAGCAUUAAUCUAAUUAUGUACUUCAUCUUGAAAUCCUUAAAUUACCCAUCAAAAUGUGAACGAUUAGUGUAUCAUUUUUGCACUAUAAGAAAUAGUUGUAUUACCGACCAGACAUUUCCACAAUAUACUAUUGAAAAUAAGUACUUUUUACAAAGGUAUUGUCAUUGAUGAGCCGUUGGAUAAAUAUGAAAAGUAUCAUACCUCGGUGAUAAAGAAAAUUCGUUUGUCGGAAAUGGAAUGUCGAGCCCAAAAUUACUCUAAACUUGGUAAAGUUAGAUUUUGGCCCAAUUUGUUUGAAAGUUUUAUACAUAAAGCACUUUUUUUUUUAUGUAAUUUGUGCAAUCUGAAGGGAGGUAUUGUAAAAUUAACAUAAAUAAAUGUAAUAUGCCAAUACCGUUUAAAACAAAAAAGAUAUCAUGAAAUUGAAAAAAAAUAAAUAAUAAUAAUAAUAACAACAUUAAAAGAAAAAGGAAAUUACGGAGAAGAAUAAUCGCUUCUUGAUCUCAACUCUCAAUUUGAAUACAAUCUCUGAAUCUCACUUCUCGAUCUGUCUCCAUUCUUCAUUCGCAUUUACUCGGUGGUAAUUAAUUCUUCACUCUCACUCGCCUUAUUUCCUGCAGAUUUCUUCAUUUUCCUUCACUGUUCGUUUUUAAGGUUCCAUUGUAUUUCCAUUGAGUUUGCAACUGUUCAAUUGCUCGAUCCACAUUAGUUUUAAGGUACGAUUGUUGGUUAUUUUCCUAAUCAAUAGACAACCCUAGAUACGAUCAUAGGAUUUAAUCAAUUGACAGUCUGAAAAAUCAGAGAGACCCAAAUCCUAAUCAACAAACGCAUACGAUGAUUCAUUUAAAUUAGAUUGUUUAUUCUCAUAACACAAUGCACUGCUAUGCUAUUUGUCACAAACAUUAAAAUCUUCAUACGAUAAAUCUUUUAAUUGACAAUAGAUUAAGUUGAUAAUUAAAUAGUAGCCAAUUAUCUAAUUAACAAACAUAAUCAUGACAAUAAUUCAGAGAAUAAACAAAUACCCAAAAAGUAAUAAAAUAAUUAAAGUAUAAGAAAGAUCUCACAGCAGUGAUGAAUCAAAGUUUCAUUAACCUUCAACCAGAAUAAUAGAUUUAGUUUUUCAUAGACAGGAGAGAAAAAUUUAGAUCUAGGGUUUCUUUCUCUUCAAAAAUCUCCGUCUUUGACAAUAGAUUCCUCCCUUAAAUUCUCUUCUCUCUCUUCUCCUCUAGAGUUCUUUUUAAAAUAAAAUACUAAUUUCUAAAAUAUUAUCUAAAUAUUAAAUGCGUAAUUACAAAAAUAACUAAAAAUACAAAACACGUUAAACUAAAAACUGCAGGUCCGUAGUAGACAGCAUGCGCCCACACCUUAUCAACAAAGUUCUUCUGAAGCUCAUAAUUUCUUCAAGAAAACAAUCAUCCUCAAACAUCAUCUUGUAGCUCAAUUUUAGCACCAAUCAAUAAAAUUGCACCUACCAAAAUAAAACACAAGUAAAUCACUAUUAUUAAGUGCAAAACAUCGAUAUUAAAAGAAGUAAAUAAUGCAAAACUAGUGCAUAAAUUGUACUCUAACACUUCAUUCCGAUCCCUUGAUCAUUACUCAUUUAUUUAUUUAUUCUUUGCUUCACUUCUAAGCUUAGCAAAGGAACUUGAACUUUGGCUUUUCAAAUAGGUCACUUUUGCUUUUAAUCUCGCCCAUGAUCUUCAUCAUGAAGAUGACAAACCAUUAUUCUUUAUUCUUCACUUUUGCUUUUAAUCUCGCCCAUGAUCUUCAUCGUGAAGAUGACAAACCAUUAUUCUUUAUUCUUCACUUGUUGAAUUUACAGAAUAUAUAGCAUUCUUAAAAUUUUAGCAAAUCGUUAUUCUUCAGCUUCAGCACCUCAUUAAAAAGUCAUUCUUUGAACUUAUUCUCAAUCAAGAAAAACAUAUGCGUUCGUUCGUUGUAGUCACUGUUGUUUUGUUAUUAAUGUUUGCUCCCUAUUGCCGUUAACUCUCUUGAGCUUCACAGGAUCAGGAAACCCUUUUCUCUUGGCAUCUGUUUUGUUGUAAUCUCUCAGUCCUUGUUGAUUAGUUUCUCUCCGCUCCCAAUUUAGUUGUGUCCUGCUGUUGUCUCUGUUUUGUUCCAUAUCUACUCUCUGCACUUCUGCUGUGUCAAGACAUCUUCUUUUGUUCAUUCGGUUGUGGUCUAUAAUAUAUUUUUCAUCUUUCUUUUGGUCUAUACUUAAGUUAUUUUGAUUGGUUCCUUUCUCCUUUAUUAUCUAAAUCCCUCCUUAUAUUUAUUCAAUCAGUUGUUACGCUUUCUUUCAUUUCUCCGCUUCCACAACCAGAUAAACUGUCCAUCUUUGUUGUUUCUUCUUUUUUCUCUUCUGUGGUUGGCUCUUGUUUAUUUGCUUUUCAGAACUCAAAAAAAAAAAAAAAAUAGAAGGAUCAAAGAUGGUGGAAACCAUUAUUACUGUUGUUUUGGAAGUUGUGAAAUGCUUGGCUCCUCUAGCAGAACGCCAACUUGGUUAUUUACGUAACUAUAAAACCAACUUUGAGAAUCUCAGGGCAAAAUUUGAUGAACUCAAGGAUGAAAGUAGGAGCAUUCAGCACAGAGUUUCUGAGGCUGAAAGAAAAGGAGAAAAGAUUGAAGAGAAGGUUGAAAAGUGGCUGGUUAGUGCAAACGACAUCAUUGACAGCGCAGCCAAAUUCAUUGAAAAUGAGGAGUCAACGAAUAAGCGUUGUCUCAAGGGCUUGUGUCCUAAUUUGAAGACCCGCUAUCAGCUUAGCAAGAAAGCAGAGACAGAAAUGAAGGCCCUUGUUGAACUUGGAGAAGAAGUAAAGAAGUUUGAUAUUGUUUCCCACCGUACCAUUCCGGAGGAGAUUUGGCUCAAGUCUCACAUAGGCUACGAGGCCUUCGAAUCAAGACGUUCUACUUUGGAGGCUAUAAAAAAAGCAUUGAUCGAUGUUAGCAUCAUUGGGGUGUACGGCAUGGGCGGCAUUGGAAAGACGACACUGGUGAAGGAGGUCUCCAGGCAAGCUAUGGAAGCCAAGCUCUUUGAUAUGGUGGUCUUUUCAGAGGUUUCGCAAACUCCAGACAUAAAAAAGAUUCAACAGGAAAUUGCCGAGAAGUUGGGCCUGGAGUUGCGCGAGGAAGUUGAAUCUGGAAGAGCAAGUAGACUAUUUGAGCGAUUGAGAAAUGAGAAGAAGAUCCUUGUGGUUUUAGAUAACAUCUGGAAACACCUUAAUUUGGAGACUGUUGGAAUUCCUUUUGCAGAAGAUCAUAAAGGAUGCAAACUACUGCUGACAGCAAGAGAUCGUAGUGUCCUCUUACAAAUGGGAUCCAAAGACAACUUUUUGAUAAACAACUUAAAAGAAGAAGAAGCCGGGAGAUUGUUUAAGAUGAUGGCCGGUGAUGAUGUUGAAAAUCGUGAGUUGAAAUCUACAGCAAUAGACGUCGCCAGGGCAUGUGGAGGUUUGCCCAUUGCCUUGAGUACGGUAGCAAAGGCAUUGAGAGGCAAGAGUCUGCAUGAAUGGAAGAAUUCCUUGCGAGAACUCCGAACGCCUUCAAUGGUAAACUUCGAAGGAGUAUCUGCAGAGACUUAUGCAAGUAUUGAGCUGAGUUUCAACCAAUUAAAAGGUGAACGCAAGGAAAUUUUUCAGCUCUGCAGUCUAAUGGGUAACCGUAUUUUUACUUUCGACUUGUUUAAGUACUCCAUGGGUUUGGGUAUAUUUAAAGGAGUCAAUAAGAUGGAAGAUGCACGAGACAAAUUAUAUGCAUUGGUCCAUGAACUUAGAGACUCUUGUUUGUUGCUUGAGGGUGAGAGCAAUGAACAAUUGUCAAUGCAUGAUGUUGUUCGCGAUGUCGCGAUAUCAAUUGCAUGCCGCCAGCAACAUGUGUUUUCGGUGAGGAAUGAGGAUGUGUGGGACUGGCCAGAUAAGGAUGCACUUCGAAAUUGCAAAGCUAUCUCUUUAAUAAAAAAUAGUAAUCGUGAAUUUCCUGAAGGAUUAGAAUGCCCAAACCUUGAAUUUUUAUAUAUCUCUCUCAAAGAUUUUUCUCUUGAAAUCAAUAUUCCUGAGAACUUUUUUGUAGGGAUGAAAAAGCUUAGAGUUCUAGAUUUUACUCGAAUGCAGUUUUCUUCUUUUCCAUCUUCAAUUGAUCUUCUAGUAAAUCUUCACACACUAUGUCUGGAUAAAAGUGCGUUGGGCGACAUAGCAAUCAUUGGGAAGUUGAAGAAUCUAGAAGUCCUUAGCUUUUUGAAGUCUGAUAUAACGCAGUUGCCAGAAGAACUAGGUCAAUUGAAUAAGUUGAGAUUGUUAGAUUUAACCAAUUGUUUCCGUCUGAAAGUUAUUGCCCCAAAUGUCAUAUCAAGCUUAAUCCGAUUAGAAGAGCUGUAUAUGGGUAAUUGCUCCAUUGAAUGGGAGGUUGAAAGAGCCAACAGCAAAAGAAGUAAUGCUAGCCUUGAUGAAUUGAUGCAUUUACCUCGGCUAACCACUCUAGAAAUUGAUGUUAAAAAUGACAGUAUGUUACCAGAAGGUUUUUUGGCCAGAAAGCUCGAAAGGUUCAAAAUAUCUAUUGGAAAUGGGUUAUUCACACAUCCCAUGAUUGCUGAACAAAAUUGGUUCCAAAGUCUGCGGCGCUUUUCUCGCAAAAGUGAUCGCAAGAGUUUAAGAGCAUUGAAGCUCAAGCUUGCUUUUAUGGACAUUUGCUCCAUGAAAUUGCAGGGCAUCAAUAACGUAGAAUGCUUAUGGUUGGACAAGCUGCAAGGCAUCGAGAAUGUUCUUUUCAAUUUGGACACAGAGGGCUUUUCACAAUUGAAGCUUCUCUGGGUUCAAAAUAAUCCUGACAUCUUUUGUAUCGUCGAUUCAAGGGCGAUGGUCGCUUGUGAUGCCUUUCCUCUUUUGGAGUCACUUGGCCUUCACAAUUUGAUCAACAUGGAGAGGAUAUGUAUUGAUCGGCUCAAAGUAGAGUCCUUCAACGAACUCAAAAUCAUACAAGCAUAUAAUUGUGAUAAAUUGAGUAAUAUCUUUUGGCUCUCUACAACAAAAUGCCUUCCAAGACUUGAGAGAAUUGCAGUUAUUAAUUGCAGCAAGAUGAAAGAGAUUUUUGCAAUUGGGGAAGAAGUUGAUAAUGCAAUUGAGAAGAUAGAGUUUGCUCAAUUAAGAUCUUUGAGUCUGGGGAAUCUUCCAGAGUUUACAAGUUUUUGCCGUGAGGUGAAGACUCCUUCAGCAUCACCAAACAGACCAGCGUCGCAGGAGGAAUCGACGACUACGUAUAGCUCCAGCGAAAUCACUUUGGAUACUUCAACUCUGCUUUUCAACGAGAAGGUGCGUAGGCUAACAUUUUCUUUAUUCUAUCAUGCGUUCUGUUUUGAUGUCAUACGUGGAAAAUAAUUAAAUCAUUUAAAGAAUUGAAAGAAAAUGGAAAAAAGGAUAAAAAGAAUCUCACGCGCUCACUAAUUGAGCUCUUAACAAGUAGUAUGAAUUAGAAUGCAUACUCAGCUGUCAGUUGGAAAUUGAUUCAGACUUGCAUUAAUUUGUAAUCAAAGAAGAAAAUUUCAACAAGUGCUUCCCAUAUGGAUAUUGGAUCUAACGAGAAAUUCUUCUUUUUUUAGGUUGCGUUGCCUAACUUGGAGGCUUUGGAGAUAUCUGCAAUUAAUGUCGACAAGAUUUGGCACUACAAUCAAAUUCCAGCGGCCGUGCUUCCUCACUUUCAAAGUUUAACACGAUUGAUUGUGUGGGGUUGUCACAAAUUAAAAUACAUAUUUUCAGCGUCUAUGAUCGGAAGCCUUAAGCAGCUCCGACACCUAGAUAUACGCUUCUGUGAGGAUUUAGAGGAGAUCAUUUCUGAAAACAGAGCAGAUGAAGUUAUCCCUUAUUUUGUCUUUCCACAGCUCACCACUCUAAGACUCGAAUGUCUACCAAAACUUAGAUGUUUGUACCCUGGAAUGCAUACUUCGGAAUGGCCCGCACUAGAAAUUCUUUUAGUGGGUCGUUGUGACAAAUUAAAGAUAUUCGAUGCAGAUUUAUCGCAGAAUAAUGAGAAUGAUCAACUUGGUAUUCCUGCACAACAGCCCCUAUUGCCGUUGGAAAAGGUACGAAGCCAUUUUCUAGAUUUUUUAUCAAUAGCGUAUUUUUAACUUCGAAAAAAAUGACAAAGCAUCGAUAAAUUAACACUCAAUAAAUUGAAAACUUUUAUUAUACAAUAAUCUUUGCUAGUCUAGAUUAAGAGAUCAAUGUGGUAGAUUAAUAAUUAUAUGAACUUUUUAAGGUAUAGCAUUUAUAAAAGAAUCCUUAGUCUUUCCAUAUAGAAGAACUUACAAAAUAAAUUAGUAAUUUAUUAUUGUGCAAUAAAAUAAUUUCAAACCAGUAUAAAUCAACCUUUUUUCCCUAAUUUCUUUUUUACCUCUAAAAUUAACAUAUAAAAUAAAUUUUAUCAAUAAUUCAUUUUUUUUUUAAAAUAUAAUAUAAAACAAAUACUAUAAAGUCACUGCGUGUGACCGUAGAUCAUCAAUUGACCUCAUUAGUUAUUAUGAUUGAUGAUGAUCAGAUCGUACCCAACUUGAAGGAACUAUCACUAAGUGGAAAAGAUGUGAAGAUGAUUUUGCAGGCCGAUUUCCCACAACACCUUUUUGGCAGUCUUAGAGAACUAGAGAUUGCUGCAGAUGACUCAGCUGGUUUUACAAUCUGGAACGUACUGGAGAGAUUUCACAAUCUCGAAAUACUCACACUGUUGUUUUUUUCAUCCCACGAAGAGCUAUUUUCGAUGGAAGGAUGCUUACAGAAACAUGUGGGGAAGUUGGCAAUGAUAAAAGAAUUACAGCUGCGCUGGCACUAUCAUCUGGAGCAGCUGUGCAAGCAAGACUCCAAACUUGGCCCCAUUUUUCAGUAUCUUGAAAUUCUAAAAGUAUAUCAUUGUCAAAGUCUGUUAAUUCUAUUGCCAUCAUCAUCGGUAUCUUUUGGGAACCUAACAAAACUUGUAGCUUUCGGUUGCAAGGAAUUGAUACACUUGGUAACAUCCUCCACAGCAAAAACUCUGGUGCGACUCAUAGCAAUAGAAAUAUAUGGAUGCAGAGCAAUGACAGAGGUGGUAAUAAAUGACAAAGAUGGAGUUGAAAAAGAAGAGAUUGUUUUUAGCAAAUUGAAGACGUUGGGACUGUUUGAUUUAGAUAGCCUCACAAGUUUCUGUUCUGCCAAUUACACCUUCAAAUUCCCAUCUUUGGAAUAUCUGGAUGUGAUUGGUUGUCCCAAGAUGAAGAUUUUCACUACAGGAGAAUCAAUCACGCCUCUAAGAGUAAACGUCUGCUAUGGAGAGACAGCGGAUCAACGGCGCUGGGCUAAUAAUGAUCUAAACACAAACAUACAACAAUUACAUGCUGAGAAGGUACGUAUAUACAUAUUACUCUCUAUCUCCCAUGAUAAAUUUUUACAAAAUUUGCUUUCUUAAAUACAAUAUAGAUAAGAUAUUUGUUAUAAAGUAAGUUUAAAUUGAUGAAUAAGAAUUUUACUUUCAGCUGUUGGCGGUGUCGUCGUCAUACUCUACGCAGUACGACUAAUUUCAUAGGCUUCUUAUGACUUGGAGUUGCGAAUUUUUAGAAGAAAGUCUCAACUGGUAAUUAAUUUUUAUUUCAUUUAUUUAAUCCCAUGUCUUGUUUCACAAUUUCAUCUGAAUUAUUUAGAAUGGGUCCCUCGGUUUACUGUUAAAUUUGCAAUGCAAUUUUAAUGAUCCUUUCAGACAUUUAUGGACAGAUUUUGCAAAAUUGAAUGUCUUUUAGUCUAGUUUAAUUUGAGUUUUUCAUUUUUUUUUUAGAGCUCCCCUUGUUUUCUAAAAUUUUAUAAUUCCUUGCAUACUUUUUAUGAUAAAGUUUCAUUAAAAGCCUUCAUAUUUUAUAAUUCCUUGAAAACGUGCAUACUUUUUCCUUUUUUUCUUUGCCAAUUAUUUAUUGUCAUCAUUGCUGUUCUUUUAUUUUAGUUUGUGCUCUAUUUGUUCAUUGGGUUUGCUUUUCGGAAAGUUAGAAGGCAAGGAAAGUACUUAGAAAAUAUUCUUCCCUAUGAACACAUAAUUAACAGCUGAAUAUCAUUCAUUGGAUUAAAAAAAAUUUAAAAUAAAAAGAAAGUAAUCAGCCCAUUAUUCCUAGAACAAAUCCUUAAACCAUCAAACGUUAGCUAUGAACAAGUAUAUUGGUCUAUAGCAUAUUCAUAAUAUUUUCUCUGCUGUUCCUGUUAAAAUUUCUCUACUCUAUGAUUGCAAAAUGUCUGGAUACUGAUGAAGAUUUAAGUCACUCUUCUUCUGUGAAUAAGGUCGUUUUUCUUUUUUCCUCUAUUCAAAGUUUCCAUUCUGAUGGGUUCCCAUUUCCAUCUUCGUGAUCUUCUUGUGAUAGUGUGAGUUACAACCUGUCUGUUUCCUUUGUUUGAUCAUCACAAGUUCAAAGACAUUUUAUUCUAGCUAAGCUCUGUGUAUGUAUUAUAACAUUUUUAUUCUCAAUAUAUAUGACUCAAUGAGAGGUCUUUUAUUAUAUAUAUGUCGUGAAUUUCUAUUGUAUUUUGACAUUUGAUGGUGUAUCAUUGUCUCAUUGCAAGGUCUUUUAAUCACUCUGAUUCUCAUUUGAGGAGGUUGGUCUCGUCUAUGUGUAUGUAUUUAUAUCCACAAGAAAUUUGAUAAAUGGUCUUGUCAUUUUCUCAUCAAAACAUCUGGUGCUUCAUAUGUUGGAGGGUUACCAGGCAUCAGGGCCAGAUUUUUAAACUCAAAGUUCUUCGUGUCAUUUUUUAACAAUAAUAAGGAAAGCCCAAGAGAAAAUCUAGAAGUCCUAAUAAGGACCGCUUCUACAUAUAUUGUUCAUUUUCUUAAUUACCUUCAUUAUUAUUUUCGUUUUCAAUCGAUCAAACUUCAGUUUCUUCAUCUUGAAAUCCUUAAUUUACUCAUCAAAAUGUGAACGCUUAGUGUAUCAUUUUUACACUAUAAGAAAUAGUCGUAUUACCGACCAGACAUUUCCACAAUAUACUAUUCAAAAUAAGUACUUUUUACGAAGGUAUUGUCAUUGACGAGCCGUUGGAUAAAUAUGAAAAGUAUCAUUCCUUGGUGAUAAAGAAAAUUCGUUUGUCGGAAAUGGAAUGUCGAGCCCAAAAUUACUCUAAACUUGGUAAAGUUAGAUUUUGGCCCAAUUUGUUUGAAAGUUUUAUACAUAAAGCACUUUUUUUUUUUUAUGUAAUUUGUGCAAUCUGAAGGGAGGUAUUGUAAAAUUAACAUAAAUAAAUGUAAUAUGCCAAUACCGUUUAAAACAAAAAAGAAAUCAUGAAAUUGAAAAUAUAUAUAUAAUAAUAAUAAUAACAACAUUAAAAGAAAAAAGGGGAUUACGGAGAAGAAGAAUCUCUUCUGGAUCACAACUCUCAAUUUCACUCAGUGGUAAUUAAUUCUUCACUCUCACUCGCCUUAUUUCCUGCGGAUUUCUUCAUUUUCCUUCACUGUUCAUUUUUAAGGUUCCAUUGUAUUUCCAUUGAGUUUGCAACUGUUCAAUUGAUCGAUCCUUAUUAGUUUUGGGACUUCAAUGACCAUAGAAGAAGAUUCUCACAGACAACUCUUCCUUCUUUUGUCUUUGUUUUUUUUUUUAUUUGUUUAUGCAUGUUUCCUUUGCUGAUUUAUUUACUUAUUUCUUUCUCUGAUGUCCCAAUUUAUCCUAUGAUAUUUCAAUUGAUGUAUUACGUUCAUGUUAUGUUUAUGGAUGCUUGCUCUACUGUCCUAAUUUACAAUUAAAUUUUACUCCGUCCUUAGCUAUCGAUUCACAGUGGUGUGUCAUUAAUAUGUACUUGUCUUAUUUUAUAUUUCAUUAACUAUUAUUUCAACAAUUGCUGCAGGUGUCAAAUAAUGAAUUUGUAUGAGCUUCAGUCCAAGGUAAUUAUCUUUUUCAUUUCAUGUUAUUUGAUCUCUAGGUUUAUUUUAUCGUUUCAUCUAAAUUAUUUGGAAUGCAUCAGCUGGUUUAUUCUUAAUUUUGGAACGAAUUUGAUGCAGCAGAUGGUUGCGAAGGAUGAGUGGAGUAUCUCUCUAGGGUAACAACUUGAGCUAUAAGUAUCUAUUUAGGGUGCAUAAUAUACAUUUCGAAGUUCGCGACGAGGGGAAUCUAAUCUAAUACUGUAGCGCCGCAUUAGUCUCGUGGUUCGAUUGAAAAUUAUAUUUAUUUCAUAUUAUUUUACAAGUUUAAGAUCUAUUUUCCUAUUGUUUUCGGGAUUUUUAUCUUUUUUUUUUUUCUAGAUAUAGAAUUUGAGUAACAUUUAUCUUAUUUCAGUUAGGAGAAUGUUAUUAUGUAGUAAUAUGUAGGUUUACUUAUUUUGGUAAAUUUGUGAUAUUUAAGUUUAGUUUAAAAGAAGUCCAAAACCUUAAUUUUGUUAUUCAGACUUUCAUUAAUAAAAUAUAAAACUUUCUAAAAAAGAAAAUGCUCGUCUGGUACCUAUAUUUUAACUUCAAUGCUCGUUUAGUUUUUAUAUUUUAAAAAAUACCUCAAUAUACCUUGAUAUUAAAUACGUUACAUUUUUCCUUAAAUUUUAUUUACUUUUACAAUAAUAUCUUGGCAAUAAUAUUCUUAAAUUAAUUAAUUUAUUUAUAAAAAAGUUAAUUGGAAAAUUAAUCAAGAAAUAUCAAUAUGAAAUAACCAGUAUUUUUUGUACUUUUACAACAAUCUUGCCAAUAAUUCUUUAUAAAUAAAUUAAUAGCAGCCAUCUUAAAGUAAUGUUUAAUAUUCUUAAAGCAAUCUUACUAAUAAAUGCAUAAAAAAUUUAAUUUACGAAAUUAGUCCUAAAACUAAAAUAAUAACAUAAAAGUUUUUAUUAAUAUUUAUUUUGUUUAAGGCUGGCUAGAUGAAUUACCAUUUUUUUCUUUUCAUUGAUAUUCCCAAAAAUAUUAUUCCAACACAGUAGGGGUGUCUUGAGGUUAGGGAUGGCAAUGGGGAGGGGAGGGGAGGGGACUAAUCUCCCCGUACCCAUCCCCGAUAUUUUGCGUAUGUCCUCGUCCCCUCCCCGUCCCCGUCCCCGUCAGAAUUACUUGAGAGAAUCUUCAUCCCCUCCCCGAAUAAUAACAGAGGAUCCCCGAUCCCCGAAUAACUAAUACAUUUUUUUUUUUCAAUUUUGAGUUAAUUAUAUUAAAAUAAAAAAAUUCAAAUAAAAGUAAAUUUCGAAAUAUAUCUUACAUGAAUAUCUAUUUCAAAAGUCACAUACAUUAAAUUAGUAAGUAACGCAGCAUGCAAGGGAUACAAACUAUCAUGAACAAAUUAAUAGUCUAAUACAAAAUUGUUACAAAUAAAAUCGAAUUUAGAUUCAAAAUUAACUUUUUCAAUGGUGGCGUGGGCACUUUAUAAAUGUGGACUAUUCCCUUUACAGCACAAUAGUUAAGUCCGAGCAAAUCAAGAGCAAAUAUUAGAUUAGAUUAGAUAUUAAAAUUGUGAUUCGCUGUGGGCAAUUAUAACAUCUAAAAAUAAAUAAAUAAAUAGAUUUAAGUUUAAAAUAUUUAAUGAAUAUUAAAAUUAAAACAAAAUUUUUGGGCUAAUAGAAUCUACUGGUCUUUUUAAUGUCCUAAAUAAAAAUUUAAGACUUUAAUUUGUUAAUUAGGCCUAAAAGUUUAAUAAUAUAAAUAUUUUGAUAUUUGUUAUUUUUACCAAUAUUUAUAAUUUUAUAAUUUAUUUACUAGUAAUUUUAAAAAAUAAAAAUAAAAUUAAAAAUUAAAAUGGGGAAAUGGGUAGGGUAUGGGGAUUCCACCUCAUCGCCGUCCCCUCCCUAAAUAAGAAAUUGGGUAAAAAAAUUUGCCCGUCCCUUCCCCGAAUAAGAAAUUGGGUAUGAAAUUAUCCUCAUACCCUCCCCGAAUAGGGAAAAUCCCCGAUGGUACCCGUCCCCGUGGGGAUUUUUGCCAUCCCUACUUGAGGUUGAGGCACUUUUUAAAAUAUAAGAACUAAAUGCGCUCUCAAGUCAAAAUAUAGAGACUAAAUGAACAUUUAUUCCUUUUAAAAAGCUUGUGUUUCUCUAUCUUUUCAAUCUCAAUGUUUUUGUUUCCGUUUCAUCAUAAGUUCUAAUGUUUGGUUCUCAUCUUAAUGUGCAAAUUUUACAUCAUUGAAGGUCUUUUGAUCUGAGUUAAGAUCAUAAAAUUAUACUUGCAUUGGUCAGGUUAUACGAAAAUUGUACAAAAUAAUAUUCUUAUAUAACUGUUGUCCUCUGUUAUUACGGAAUCCCCAAGUUCUGAAGAAGGUCGAAAUCAGGUCUCUCUACUGUGAAGCCCCUGGAAUAAGAGCUACAAAUGUGUUACCGUUGAAAGCAUGGCAGAAAACUUAGUACUUAAUUCAGACUCUUUGUGGCUUCAAUAUUUUACUUAACAUGAAAAAUUCUUUCUAGCUUGCAUCAUUGUAAAGAUAAAUUGUCGCAGUUCUGACAAUGAACAAGUAUAAAUGUCCACAGAGAAAAGUACUGAACAAUUAAUGUUAACAGCAAUCGAUUGGUGUGAGCGCCAACCACCAUUUUCAUAUUUAAGCCUUUAGAACAGCAAAACAAAAUACGGCAAGUGGCAACCACAUCAAAUAAUCAAAUUGUUGAUAGAUUUUGAAAGCUUUAAUUUGCUUGAUAUAUAUUUAAAUAUUUCAACAGAUGAUCUUUUCGCUACUCACGGGGCACGCUGAGUUAGAAACGGUUUGGAUGUCAAUAUUACUCCAAGUGCCUCAACCAAAUUCAGAAUGAAAAAAAACCAUCUGGUUACCUGCACUUUUGUUUAAGCAGCUAAUGAAGCUAAUUAGCACGAAAUAGUACACAAACUCGCGAGAAAUUUCAUUAGUAGAUCAUCAUCCUGGGAGGAAACCAGCAUCUUGACGCUUUUGUGAUCAAGAAAAUCUGCCAGAACCCCAAUUAAUGAAAAAGAAAUUAUAACAUCAUUUACGUAUAGUUUUACAAAAUCAACAGGACACUCACAGAGCACCUCCUACAGCUGGACCGGCAGUUUUGGUAAGCGACACUACAGUCAUAGCAAGUCCAUUAGCAGCUCCUCUUUGAUGCUGUUCCUUUUGUUGUGGCAUAAACCAACAAAUUAAAUUUAAACUUUGACACAUACAAAAUUUGAAAAAGCUGAAAGCAUGUAAAUGUACUAAACAAACAAAAGAAAAAAAAUAUUUACCACUGCUCUGUUUUGCAGAAGGAAUAAUCUAGUUAUUAUAGACACCUGAUAUUAUAAUUCAGGAAUAGUAAAAUAGAAUUACAACAUUUCUAAUAAAAAAAGACACAAAAUAAUUUUAUACAUACUUGAUGGAUAAUAUAACCUAAGUAUAUGGAUCAAUGAUUAGGAUAUCCACUUACAGCUAAAACAUUCUUCAUCACAGAAGCACAGUUUAUCAAAAAGGCAAGGCUGAACCCAGAUAGCAUUGCUAUGUAAGUGUAACUUGUCAAAAGCGGUAUCGAUAAAACCUGUACAUACAUAGAAAAUUAUGGGACCAAAACCAUGAAGAAAAGUAUUUUAUAAACAAAUAUGUUUGAAACAAACUAUCAAAUGGUCUAAAUGCCACAUGGUGUGUUCAAAAUUAUUGUUCUGUUUUAGUGACAAAACACUCAUCCCAUGACAUUGAGCUAUCAAUUCUCAUGGAUUCGUCACGCUUGAAAGGUUUGGUAGUUGUUCUGUUUUAUCUUCAGUUUCAUUUGUGAUCACAGAAACGUUAGGACUUGCGUGCAUGAAAGCACAUUAAAAUUUGAAAGUUCUGAAGAAGAUUCAGGUCACUCGCGUGCAGCCUCUGGAAUAAGAGCUGUGUUACUGUUUAAAAGUUUUCAUGCUGUGGGGCUUCCAUCUUCAUUAUUCUACGAAUGCUUAACUUCACUAUUCUACGAAUGCUUCACUUCACUACAUUGACAGCGUUGAAAGUGUAACUAAAACCCUUGCUUUCACAAGCAAGCAUCGGUGAAUGAAAAAGAAAGUCUCUCUCGAAGGUAAUUGACAGAGGAGCAAUCUUCUUACUCUUUAACUAAAUAUCAGAAAUACAAGGUUAAGGCAGCUAGGGUUGCGAAGGAGAAGGAUCGUUCCCGGAUUUUGCCUGCUUCAAGUUGUUGGGCUUGGUGAACCAAGUUGUGUACACGAAUUGCUUAUGAGGGCCCACAUGGUUGCAGACAAGCCUGAGCUUUUGUCUCUCCCUCAUGUCUCACAUUUUAUGAUGAAUCAAAUUGAACUCCCAACACGGUAGUUCAUAAAAUAUGCUUUUCUUCUUCCAAGUAAUCUUAUCAUUUCUCUCAUUUUAUUCAUUCUCCACUUUUCAAGUCUUCAAUCUUAAACUCAGUAAGGAUAUUAUUCAACUGCUUUUUCACUUCAGCUCCAGACAUCCGAGAAGGUGCUUGUCCCCACUCUCUAGAUUUAUCAAAAGGCACUAUAUUUUCGAAACCUAUGAUUCGUCAGUAAAAAUCGACGUUACCGACGUGACAAAAUUUUCUACUAUGUAUCAACCAAUUAGAUCUAGUGUUUUGUUGGCAAACAAGAAAUGCUUAUUUACCUUUAAUACUCCACUCAGACAAGUUGGCAUGUGCUAGAAAGUCACUGAUAGUCCAUAACAAUGCUGUGUGUGAAUUGAAUAUUUGAUUACGUGAUGUAUCAUGUAUCAUUCCAACCAUAUCAUCAUCAGCACCCGAGUCAUGACUAACCUGUUUCUUGGUUAGAUUCCAAAGAUGAAGAUGGCUCACCAUGCAAUAUCCAGUUUUAAUACUUUAACCAAAAACCAUUUAUAAUGAUAUGGUCUCUUGCUACUUCCCUUAAAACGAAAUAUUCGACACUUCUUACAAGGAUAAUAAAUUCUUGCAUCACCAACAACAUUCUCAAAUGCAAAAUCUAUAACUUAGAUAUCUAUUUGCCAAACCAACCCAACUCUUCUCCAUUACCAUCUCCUUUUAAUGCACUACAAAAAUUAGUUAGAUAAAUCAUUUUAGUUUUUCAUUUCUACUACUGACCAAGAUAUUUUCGUGUGUGCACAGUUUUGCAAUAUAAUUAAAAAAUCAUUAUACAAUUUUAUGGUUAAUUUCAUUAGAAUUUAUAUAUAUGAAAGCAAGUAAAGCGACAAGAAUCAGAGAAAAAGACGUGAAAAUUAAAGUAUAUAUACAACAAUAAUUAAUGUAAAAAACAGUUUCCAAUACCUUCUGUAAAGAAAUAUCCUCACCCACAGCUGAGAACUUCAGUUGGUUAUCAAUUACAGAUACAAAGCAUGUUACCUAGAAACAAAAAAAAAGGUCAGCCAGCUGAAACAUAUUUAUAAACCAACAUUGGAGAUAGUACUCCAUUUAUAAACAAAAUUACAAGCUCAAAACCAAGUUAACUCAGCAAAACUAUAACCGAUUACGUCCAUCCAACUCAGCUCCUCCACUCCCAUCAAUAUGUCCAACACUCCCUUCAUAUUUACAAAAGGUAAGUGGUCCCGUAUAUCCCUCUCAAGAAUGCAUAAGUUUCUUCAAUCUCAAGUACUUUAAAGUUUUCUUCUACGUUUAUAGAAAUUUCGGCAGCAUCUCCCUUUAGUUCUCCAAGCAACGACAUAGAUAUAUGAGUGUUUAUGUGUUAUCUAGUAUGCACCCAAAGAAGAUGAGAAGCAGCUUGCGAAAAACUCAUUUUUACGUGGGAAAAAAACUUCAGCUACUAGCUACCAUAGAAAACUAUGCAUUCCCAAACAGUUCAAGCCUAGACAAUUCAAGAAUUAUUAAUAGGCAUAUGAUCCUCACUAUCAUCCAAAGAUGACACUAAUAAAACAUGUGUCUAUUAAUAAUUUCUUAAACGAUCUAAGCUUUCAAUGCAUGUAUUGAAAGUUUAAAAUUCAAUCUGAAAUUUGAAUAACACAUAAAUAUCAUAAAUCUCUUCAAUUUGUUCCUAAUACAAUGUAGCAUUAUUACGCGCAUCAUUUCUUAAGCAAAUCCAUAAAAAAUACAAACAAUAAAUACAUUUUCUAGCACUGAUGCAGAUUAUGUUUACUAAGCAAUAAGUUUUAAGUCAUUCAUGUUAAAAUACUUUUUCCUAUUCUUUCAACAUAUAACUAGUACGUGCACACAAUUAAUAAAUUAAAUAUAACCUGGUUGUGAAUCUCGCAAAAAUCUUCCUAUUUUUUUUUUUUUGGUUGGGGGGGGGGGGGGGGGGUGUGAGCUGCUUGUGAAUCUUGCAAAUCCUCGGGAAGGCAUGUUAAGUCAAGGCCAACUUACUAUUAGGGUAUGAAAGAUAUAACCUUUUUUUUCCCUUUUCAGAGUAAAAAGAACAUUGACAGUGUUAAAAAAAUCUAGAGGAUUUCAGGCCCAUAUCCUAACAAAUCAAGGAUAUUAGAAAAAUUUACUGAGGAUAUAGUUUAUGCUCAAUUGUAUCUUGCAGGAAGAAAUUGAUAAGCCUCAGUUUCAAUUAGCUUCAUUAUAGCCAAUGAUUAGGUGUUUAAAAACCAAUGAAUAUUUUUAUAAGAAAUCAACCGUAUUGUCGGAAGAAAAACCAAAUAAAAAUAACAAAGCCAAUGAACAGACUAAUGCUCUUUAUGGUCUAAUAACUAAAAACCAAUGAGUAUUUUUAUAAGAAAUCAACAGUAUUGUUGGAAGAAAAACCAAAUAAAAAUAACAAAGCCAAUGAACAGAUUAACGCUCUUUAUGGUCUAAUAACUAAUCAAACUAAGUUGUGGGUAAAGGCGAAUAUGUUUGUUUGGUCAAUAAUAAGCUCAACGAAUCACUAAUAAGCACCUAAUCACUAUUCCUUAUGCUAUGCAAUGUAAUGGCCUGGGUAAUGGCAGCAAGGCAGGCAAGAACUAGCUAGCCAGUUAUGAUAGUUGAUUAAGAAACUUGAUUAUAUGUAUAUUUUUGUUUGCCACAUUUAAAGAGAAUUUUCCAAAGAUGCUAAGAUACACCAAAUCCCACUAUUUCCAUACUCAUAAAAACAAAAAGCCAUGGCAAAAAUGAAUGACUAUAUAAAAUAAAAUAGGUCAUAGGACAUUGAGAUUAAGGCAACAUGAUUUGUAUACCAUAAAAUAACUAUAUCUGCAUAGUCAAUUAUAUUUCUGUUAGAACUCUAAAGUUUUCAUUUAAAUUUUUUUCCCUGUUAUGUAAACCAUUUAACUGAAAUGCUUAAGCCAAUAUUAACAAUCAUAGACAUACAAGUAUUAAUAGGCUCGUUCAAGUGAAAUGAGCAUUAUUUCUCAUAUCCUUUAGGUUUUUAAGUCAUUUAGAAGUCAUUCAUGUUAAAAAAUUUCUUCAUAUACUUUCAUUAUAAUUAGUACAUAGACAAUUAUUUAAAUAAAUAAAUCUGUUUCUGCUAGUACAGGAAAUUAAUUAAUCAAAGCUAGUAGUUAUAGCUAGGACUUGAAUGAGGCACCUUUCAGAGUUCAAGAGGAGCAUCUGAACAGAACCUUUAUAGAAAUGGCAAUGACGCUUUACAUCUACAUGCUCUUACACAAUAUGGACUUUCAUUUAUUCAAGAACAUAACACUACUCCAAGCUCUUAUUCUACAAGUUAAUUCAGUUUAUAUUAUAAUUUCUGAAAAUAGAACGUAACAUUAUUAAUAUAGAAUCAGCAAUAUAUAUAACUUAUCAGACAAUAUAACAUGCACUUGGUGAGCAUACAAGAUAAACAAGUUAUCUAGAAAAUGAAACUAAAACCCAAGCUCCGCUAUUCAUUGUAGAAGCUUUAAACAUAAAAUUAAAGUAAAUCUAAUAGCAAAACAUUAGAAUGGAUGUUGGAAUUAAAGCUAAAUUCAAUAGUAAUUCAAAUGAAUCCAUUUGAACUUUGUAGAACAAAAUUAAUUUGAGUGAGCAAACACACCAAUGGAACAAGAACACAGGGCUUCAACUUGUAGGAAUAAAAACAAUUGCUGGCGAGACAAAAAUUGACAAUAACGACUACAAUACGAAUUAAAAAGAAUCAAAAUCUAUAAUUACAAGCUAAGUAAGAGAAGAAACUCAUAAUCACAAGCUUAACUCAAAAGAUGAAGGGAGAAUACGAUGAAGAAGAAGAUGCCCGGUGUUUUACGCCGUUCGCCGGCAACCAGUUAGGUUUACGAUGGAGUCCAGCGAAUAGUUUUCUAACUGGAAAUAAAUUUAAAAUUCUAAAAUAGUAGUAUACCGAACGGCUCUUUACCGUCACGUGGUUAGUAACAUAUGUGACAGCAGUGUGGCUGUCACAUAAAGGGUAACAAAAGCAACUCGGGGUUACAAAGAAGUUAGUGAUAUACGUAAUGGCUGCUUUUGCAUUCGCAUUAGGGGUCACAUAUACCAUAUUUUCUUGUAGUACAUGGUAAAUUCUAUUUGAAAAUUGCUAAGUAUUUUAGAUUUGUAUGAAUUCAUUUUUGUGUGCUCGUUGGAUAAUAAUAUAUAAUAAAUCAAAUUUUUGGUGUAAUUUUCACAAUAUUGUAUUAUAAAUAUGUCUCGUUGAAAGGUUUUGAAAUCGUUUUGAUUGAUCAUAAUUGAUAUUUCCACAUUUGCAAAAGAUGCCAGAGAAAAUCUGAUUAUCUUAAGAAAUGAGUGCAUGAGAUAUGAAAUCAACCAUAUAAUAAAAUCAAAUUUUAUUGUGUCAUCCUUCUUGGUUCAAAUUUAUGGAAACAAUAAUCAAAUGCAUCCAUGAACUAGCUAGUAUAUUCCGACACAUGUACCAUCAAAUUUUUGCUAUGUCAUACUUAUAUUUUGAAAUUUUAAUAACAACAAUUGGGCCAAGCAUAUGUUGGUACUUGAAGAUUUAUAAGCUCCAUCCUUGAAAAAAUAAGGCUUGACUGUCCUCAAUCUAAUUCUUUUUGUUUUAAGUUCCUAAUUAAGCUUUCUUGCUUGUUUUCAAGAGCCAGUUUUGUAAUGAUCGACAAACAUGAUUUGCAUAUAUUGCACUUGGUAUUUAUGUGUCACUUAUUAAUUAGAUUUAAAUUUUAUAAAUUAAUUAAGCUGAUUAAUACUUUAUGUUGAUGCAGAAAUCUAGUUGAGUUGGUUGUUGACUCAAAACCACAUCCCCGCAUCAGUAAUAAAUUUGUUUGGUGAAGAAGCGGCUUAUUAAUCUUCAAGAAAAUCCUCUAACCAUGAGCAGAUAAUUCAUGAGCCGAUAAUCUAUGAGCUGUUGAUUAGUGAGCACCAUGAGCAGAUAAUCCACGAGCUGCUGAUCAGUGAGCACCGUGAGCAGAUGUUCUAUGAGCAGAUGAUCCAUGAGCAGAUAACCCGCGAGCAUGCAAGCACAAAGAACAGUCAGGGGGCGCUAGAAGUUUUUCUGGUGAAAACCCUCCGACGCUCAAGUCACAAUAUUGUAUCCAACCAAUAAAAACUAAAAGAUCCAAAAGUUACAAGUUCUAACACCACCCAAAUAAAGGCAUGUUAGGAUUGUUUUUGGGAAGCUCAAAAGUGAUUUUAAAAACUAAAAGCUAAUUUUUAAUGUUUUAUAAAUUUAAAAACUAAAAGUUCUAACACCACCCAAAUAAAGGCAUGUUAGGAUUGUUUUUGGGAAUCUCAAAAGUGAUUUUAAAUAUUAAUGGUGCGUUUACUUCUUGGAAUAGGAAUGAGGUGGAAUGGGAAUGGACUGGAAAGGAAAUGAGGAAUGGGAAUGAGAUUUCAAUGUUUACUUGGCAAAAAUAAAUGGGAAUGGGAAUGUGCUGGAAUGCAAUUGAUGUGUUUACUUGGAAAAAUAAAUGAGAAUGAGAAUCAAUUUACCAUAAUACCCAUAGUAUUAAUAAUUAAUAAAAAUAAUUAAUUUAUCAUUAUUGUUGUUAUUAUUACUAUUAUUACUAUUAAAAAUAAUAUUAACAAUAAUUAAUAAUAACUAAAAUAAUAAAGUUAAUAAAAUAUUAUUAAAUUUUAUUAACUCUAUUAUUUUAGUUAUUAUUAAUUAUUGUUAAUAUUAUUUUUAUUAAUAUUAUCAUUAUUAACAUUUAUUAUUAUUAUUAAUAUUAUUAUUAUAUUUUAUUAACUUUAUUAUUUUAGUUAUUAUUAAUUACUGUUAAUAUUAUUUUCAUUAAUAUUAUCAUUAUUAACAUUUAUUAUUAUUAUUAUUAUUAUUAAAUUUUAUUAAAUUUAUUACUUUAGUUACUAUUAAUUAUUGCUAUUUUUAUUUUUAUUAAUAUUAUCAUUAUUAAAUUUUAUUAUUAUUAUUUUAAUUAAUAUCAUUUUAAUAAUAAUAUUUAUACAUGUAUCUAGAUAAUGAAAAUUACAUUAUUAUUAUUAUUAUUAUUAUUAUUAUUAAAUUUUAUUAACUUUAUUAUUUUAGUUAUUAUUACUUAUUGUUAUUAUUAUUAUUAAUAAUAAUAAUAAUAAUAACAAAAAUAAUGAUAAUAUUGUUAAUAAUGAUAAAUUAAUUAUUUUUUAUUAAUUAUUAUUUUUAUCAUUAUUUUUAUUGUUAAUAAUAAUAAUAUUAAUAAAAAUAAUUAAUAAUAACUAAAAUAAUAAAGUUAAUAAAAUUUAAUAAUAAUAAUAUUAUUAUUAUUAUUAAUGAAAUUUUAAAUAAUAAAAUUAAUUGUGAUUUGAAUGAGGGUAAUUUGGGAAAUAUGAAAAAAUUAGAGGGAUACAAAAGUAAAUAUAUAUUUCAUUCUCAUUCCCUCAUUUUUAUUCCCAACCCCUCAUGGGCUUGGGAUUCCCAUUCUUUAUUCCCAAAUUGUGUGAGACCCACACAUUUUAUUCUCAUUCCCAAAUUAUAUUUUGCCAAGUAAACAUGGGUUUCAUUCUCAUUCUUUCAUUCACAUUCCUCAUUCCAUGAAGUAAACAUACCAUAAAAGCUAAGUUUUAGUGUUUUAUAAAUUUUUUUAGUAAUUACUUUUGGUAAAAUCAUCUCAUCAUACAGUAGAUUUUGAAAAGUAGUGAAUGAAUAGUUUUUCAAAAUUUGAUUUUGAGAAUUACUUUUAUACUUAAUCCAAUUCUAUAUAUAUCCUCAUUAUAUAAUAAAAAUCCAAAAUUAUCUUUAUGAAUUAAGAAAUAAAAUCAUUAACUUAAAAUAGAUUAUUAUUAUUAUUACCAAUUAUAUUGAGAUAACAAAAUAGAGAAUACAAUUUAAUAAUAUAAAAUAUUUAUUUUAGUUAUCAAUAAUUAUAUGUACAUAAUAAAAAUAUUUUAUAUACAUGUUUGUAAAUGUGUAAAUAAAUUUUAUUUAGCAUUAUGUUCAAUUCAGUCAUUUAUAUUUUUUCACCAGUUUAAUAAUAAAAUUUACGAAACACAUACGUCUGCUUUUAAAACUAAAAGUACUUUUAAAAAUAAAUUUUACUAAAUGUUCAGCUGAUUCUCUUCACAAUUGAUCAAUUUCUACAGCAUAACUAACUGAAAUUAUUUUAAAAAUAAAAUUACCAAACUGACCCUAAAUCAAACCAAUAAAAAUGUUUAAAAGUAAUAAAAAUAAACCAAAGUAAAUGUACAAAAAUUCAUGCAUAAAUUGAUAAUCAACAAAAACAACCAAAAGUUUAACUCCAAGUUUUCUGUUCAAUUGACAUAACCCUUAAAUUUCAAAAGGCAUAAUCAAUUUUGUGUCUAAUCCUAUAAAAUUAGAAAAUUAAUGAAUUCAAGGGCAAAGCUACAUUGCAACAUGCCUUUGGUACCCCUCUCUUUUGUCUUUUUAAAGGUCAAUUAUAAUAGUGUCCUGGUAUUUGUUAUAAAAAUGAAAAUGUUGAAAAUUUUUAAAAUUUUACGCAUUAGUCCUACACCUACACAGUAUCAUUUUUCUCAUCCAUUUUGCACCAUCAAUGACAUCAUUUUUCUCACCCAUUUUAAUUAAAAGGUAAUUAAAAUUAUUUUCCAUAUAGAAACAGAAUAAUAAAAUAAAUUUUUUAUUCUUAUUUUUUAAUUAAUUAUAAAAAGAUAUUUUGUAUUAAAACAAUCACUAGUGACUACUGUUUCUUCGCGUGCAAUGAUAUUUUUAAUCGAAAGGGGACAUGAAGGGUUCCAUUAUAUUUGAAAUUGGAUGAUUUACAUAAAGAUAGUCUCAAUGCUAGCAAAUGGUGAUAUGUAAAGUUGCAUGCUCCUUCUAAAAUAACUGCAACAAUAACUAUACCACAAAAACACAAGGAGUUACAUUACACUACCACCUUUUCUUUUCUUUUCUUUUCUUUUUUUUUUUAAAUUUAGAGACCCUCAAUUUGGUUGUUAAAGGCAAUGAACCUUAAAACGUGAUGUAGGAAGCAUAUUAGAUAAAAUGAAUUAGAAUUUACUAGAAAUUAUAAUAUUUGGGUCAAUUUAAAAUUUAAUAUUUUAUUAAAAUUUAUCUUAUUUAUUAAGCUUACUUGAGUCAUAUUUGUAAUUCUAACCUAAUUAGGAUUUCAGAUUAUUUCUCUUAUUUGAGAAAGAUUAGCUACUAUUAUAUAUAUAAACUUGUUAUUCUUAAUUUAUGAUAACAGACACAAACUUCUUAUUAAUAAUUUUUAAUUUUUUCAUAAUUGAGAUAUCUUCUCCUUGGUGAGAGCAUCUUUUUAAAGUUUUCAAGACAUAAAUCAUAUUAGAGUUUUUUUCUGUACCAGGCAGAGCAUUCUCGACCACCAACUCCAUACAUUAGUUCCAUCAAGUUAAAAAAAAAAAACCCAACAAAACCCGAAGCCACCAUCACAUCCGUGCCACACGGCUGCCGCCGCCACUGGUUUCUCUUCUUUUUGGUCGAUCCUCUCUCCCAUCCAAAAGCCCUCACGUCGCCAAUCAUAACCCAACCCAUAACACCACCAUCCCGUCACCGUAGCCACGGGAAACUAGCCAAAACAGCCGCUGAACCACCACGAAAAUCCACCUCUCUAUUCGCUGCAAUCCGUUGCGAUUCACAUCCUCCACCACCACCCAUUCGUCCACGAUCAUCAGCUCUUUCUUUUCAACCCACUCACGCUGCCAACCCUCGGCCGGAUCGCCAGAAACUGAAACCAACCUCCACCCACUACUUUAACUCAACUUUUCAAUCAAAUCACAACUAUUUGAGACAAAUCACCACCAGCAUCACACUCAACACCAUCAAAUCUUCUAGAUCCACCUAUCCUAGGCCAAAUUUUCGACCAUCGUCGCUGGCAACACCAACUUUUGCCUAUUUAUAAUUUUGCCCCUUUACUUUUCUAUACUUAUACUAUUACCUAUAAUUUUAUGUUCUUUAAAAAACACCCAAAAACCAAACAAACUUAUAAAAAAAUAAAUAAAUUAGAAUUUACUAGGAAUUAUAAUAUUUGGGUCAAUUUAAAAUUUUGUAUUUUAUUAGGAUUUAUCUUAUUUUAUUAAGCUUACUUGAGUCAUAUUUGUAAUUCUAAUCUAAUUAGGAUUUUAGAUUAUUUCUCUUAUUUGAGAAAGAUAAGGAUUAAUUUAGCUACUAUUAUAUAUAUAGGCUUUUUAUUCUUAAUUUAUGAUAACAGACACAAGCUUCUCAUUAAUAAUAUUCAGUUUUUUCUCAAUUAAAAUAUCUCCUCUUUGAUGAGAGUCUCUUUCUUGAGUUUUCAAGACGUAUAAUAGAACGAAAUCUAGUAUCGCUUCCGCCCUGCGUUAAAAUGUCAUCUAAUCAUAGGGUCUUGUUAUAGUUGUUUGCAUUGGAAGGCUCAUCUAUCGCCGACAUAUCUAUUUAUCCGGCAACAUUGCCACCAUUACAUUGAUCAGAGAAUUUUGAAUACGUUGAUAGUUUUUUGUUUUUCUGUUCACUCACGUCUAUUUCUUAGUGAUGAUACCGUCAUUGUUGUCAUUGGUGGUGCAAUAAUUUUUAGCAAUAUUAUUUUGAUUUUUCAUUUGAUUUACAAAACUUAAAUAUUAAAUAUAAUACUUAAUUUUAGUCUCAUACACUUAAAUAUUACUAAUAUUCAAGUUCAUGGAUGGAUAUUGAAUAAAUCAAAUUCAGAGUAUUUUAUAUGGAUACUAUCCAAUCUAUUCAGAUCAGAUACUUAGACAUCCAACUUGAAUGGAUUUGUUUGCUCUUUCUAGCUGUUAACUUGAUUAAUAAUUCUAUUGGGUUUGGUUUUAAAACUCCUAAUAUGAUAAUUCAUUCAUGACACAAUUAAUUAUUCACUUAAUUAUAUUAAUUGACUUCUAUUUUAAUUGAUAGAUAUGUGUUGAAUUGUCAUCUCUAUUGUUAUCCAUGUGUGAUGUUAGCAAGAAAGAAGAAAGAAUAGAAAAUACUUAUUUUUAGUUUUUUUUAAAGAAAUAUUUAAAUUAUUUUCAAAUAGAGUAAUUGUUUAGAAUUUUUUUACCCUUCUCUCCGAUAAGUUAAUGACUAUUUAAAUAGUUGGGGUGGAGUAACAAAUACCAAUUUAUUUAAGCGUGCAAUUAAAUUAUUAUUAUUUAUUUAAGGACAAAAACUCAUUGUUAAAAAAAAGAUUUUACAAGUUAAUAAACUAACAUUUUAUUAUUAUUAGUAAAUUAACAUAUUUUUACUAUAUAAUUAAAUAGUUGAUAGUAUGUUUAAUAAAUAUUAUGUUACAAAAAAAAUUAACUACAUAGAAUAUGAAAUUAAGUUUAUUUUUGUAUUUUGUAUAUUUCAUCUACUUGAGAUAAUAAAAUCUCUUGUGUUGAAAAACAAAAUUAUGGGUUUUGAACCUUGUUCACAUAGGUGAGAGAUAAUUGGUUGCCAUUAUGUUAAAUUAAAAAAAAAAGAUCAUAUUUAUACUUAUCACUAAUUAUGGUUAGUAAAUAAUAUACAUGCAUUGUUUAACUAUAUAACAAAGUAGUUAAUUAAUUAAUUAAUUAAUUAAUUAAUUAAUUUAAAUAGAUAUUAAUAUAUGUAAGAAUAAGUCAUUUAAUUGGAAACCUAUUUCAAUGGAGUUAAAAAAAAAAGAGAGAAUAUUAUGGACUUAUAUGUCAAAUUUCAAAACUUUUGAUUUUGUUUAUUUUGCAUGAACAAUAAGGGUCUUUGAUGUUAAUAACCCAAUAAUCACAUCUCAGCCAUUACGCAAUUCUUACAUUAAAUCCAACGGUAGGUUUGAAAAAGACAAAAAAUAGGGUACCAAACCCCACGGGUAUUGUAGUUGGACCCUGAAAUUCAAACUCCUUUCACUUUUCUGUUGUUUGGUUUUCACUAAUAUAUGGGAAUUUAAUUUCUAUUUAAAUUUAAUUUUCAUCAAAUUGUGCAUUUUGGAUUCCCCACCGAAGGCUGUAAAAUUCAAAUUCUCCUCCUAUUAGAAAUCGAAUCUUCCAAAAUUGCUCCUCUCAAAUAUUUAUCAAUUAUUUUAAUUCUUAUCAAAUAAUUCUUAUUUAUGAUUUUAUUUUUUCAAUUUAAAUUGUCACUAAGGAGCCUGACUUACUACCACAGAAAAGCAAAAAUACAAUUUAUAGAUUAUGAUAAUUCCAUGUAUUGUAUGAGAAUUGCAAUCUAAAAAUUUUCCCUACAAAACUUUAAAGAAAUUAUUAUUAUUACCAAUUAUAUGGACAUAACAAAAUAGAGAAUAAAAUUUAAUAAUAUAAAAUAUUUAUUUUAGUUAUCAAUAAUUAUAUGUACGUAAUAAAAAUAUUUUAUAUACGUGUUUGUAAAUGUCUAAAUAAAUUUUAUUUAGCAUUAUGUCCGAUUCAGUCAUUUACAUUCUUGCACUGAUUUAACAAUAAGAUUUAUGAAACACAUACGACUGCUUUUAAAACUAAAUGUACUUUUUAAAAUAAAAUUUACUAAAUGUUCGGUUGAUUCUUUUCACAAUUUAUCAAUUUCUACAGCAUAGCUAACUGUAAUUAAUUUUAAAGAUAUAGGAUUACCAAACUAACCCUAAAUCAAACCAAUAAAAAUGUUUAAAAGUAAUAAUAAGAAACCAAAAUAAACGUACAAAAAUUCAUGCAUAAAUUGAUAAUCAACAAAAGCAUCCAAAAGUUUUACUCCAAGUUUUCUAUUCAAUUGACAUAACACUUAAAUUUCAAAAGGCAUAAUCAAUUUUGUGUCUAAUCCUAUAAAAUUAGAAAAUUAAAUAAUAUUAUAUACUAAUAAUUAAAUAAUAUGCAAUUAAUAAUGUUUAAAAAAUAAUGUUAAACAUAUUGUCAACUAAAAUAAUUGGGAGAAUUGGAGUUCCAAGAUAAAUUCUUAUCGAGUCCCAAAUCAACAAUUGGGAUUAAUUUCAAUCUUAAACUCCGAAACUCCGACUGCUUUUAAAAUUGGUCCUAAUAAUAUGAACAAAUCCCAUUCUGAUCAGUAUGGGAUCCCAAUCCCAUACCUUUGGAUUUCGAUGGUAUUUAGUUGGAGGGAGAAGAGAGGAAGGAAAUGAAUUCAAAUUCCUUUCACUUUUCUGUUGUUUGGUUUUCACUAAUAAAUGGGAAUUCAAUUUCUAUUGAAAUUUAAUUUUCAUCAAAUUGUGCAUUUUGGAUUCGUCACCGAAGGCUGUAAAAUUCAAAUUCCCCUCCGAUUAGAAAUCGAAUCUUCCAAAAUUGCUCCUCUCAAAUAUUUAUCAAUUAUUUUAAUUCUUGUCAAAUAAUUCUUAUUUAUGAUUUUAUUUUUUCAAUUUAAAUCGUCACUAAGGAGUCUAACUUACUACCACAGAAAAUCAAAAAUACAAUUUAUAGAUUAUGAUAAUUUUACGUAUUGUAUGAGAAUUGCAAUCCAAAAAUUUUCCCUACAAAACGCUUUUUAAUCGACAGCAAAUACAUGCUUUCAAAUUUAGUCAGCUGAACUAAUUUUUGUUUUUUUGGAUUAAUUUUGAAAUGUUGCAUCCAUAACGAGCUGGUAUUGAAAUUAAUGUUAACAACAAAAAUAGAUGCAAAAGGAGAAAUAAGCAUCAUGGCCAUUAAUAUUUUGACAUUCAAUGUUGAUUUUGAUCCCACUAAAUUAAGCCAUCAAAAAUUGCUGGGAAGGGAGUAAUAUCUAUUUAUAACUGGAAAUUACUCACCGUACAAUGAUGAUUGGAGCUGCAUGUAUCAUUUAUUAUUAACAAUUAACUUAUGAAAUGCUUUGAAUGUACCUCCUAGGUCGUAUUUACUACACUAGUUAGGAGAAAUUACGAUGUUAAAUUAUUUGAUAAAUACUUAUUAUAAUUUGAAAAAUAUGUCACAUUUGUCCUCCACUUUAUGAUAAAAAAUUUAAAAUAUAUAUAAAUCAUUCAUUUUAUAAUCUUGAACUUUAUUAAAGUUCGAAAAACUAGUAUUACUCUAUAUGAUAUAAUAGUGUGAUGUUGUUACACUAUUUUACCAUAUAAAAUAUAUUUGCUUUCUUAUAUAUAAUGGUUCUGACAUCCUUAUUUUAACAAAGUGAUGAUAUCACUAACAAACUAAAUAACACAUAUUUCAAUACACCAAUAGAUUAAAAAGAUACAGUUCUUAAUGUGUUAAAAUAUAUGUUUCUUGUAUAUUAUUGAUAUUUUCACUUUAACAAAGCGAGGGUCUCCUCACUAUAGAAGUACUUUAUAAAUAUUCUUUGUAUUUUUGUGAAAAUUAUUAUUUAAAAGUCAUAUCUUACCAAAGACUAAUAGUUUUUAUUUUAUCACUAUACCGUACUUUUGAAGAUAGAACACCUCAAUACCAUGACCUUAAUUUUUGAACUCUGCUGUACAAAGUUGUUGGCUGGUCUAUUUAGUUUAGUCUUUCAAUUAUUUGUCGUUUGAACUGAGAUGAUCCGAAUAAAGCUAUAUAUCAAUAAUUUCCUAGUGAAACUUCGGGAAAAAAAAUAAAAAUCCUCUCAUAUAGUGGCAUUAUUUUAAUUCUCAGCUUGAUUAUGUUUUGAGUUAACUUAUAGAUUAUUUGAAAUAAAAAGAAUAUAAUUUAUUUUUCUAACUAAAUAUUUUUAAAUAAUUUUGUUAAUUUAAUGAGUAAUUAUACACUUACAAAGUUAUGAUAUAAAAUUUAAUCUAAUUUAGCUAAGAUGUCCAAUUUAAUACUAAGAGCAAUGUUAAGGAUCCCAAUAAUUGAGUCUCAGCUGAUAUGAUAGUCAUUUAUUAGAUAAUCGAAAUAUUAAUUUUAUUAGUUAUGAAAUUUAUUAUCUAAUAAAAAAAUAACACAUAACAAUUGGGUCUCAAGUUAGAAUUCUACUAUCGAAAUUCCUAACAUUAUUCUCAAAUUAAAAAUUCAUCAAAAUAAUAUCUAUUAUCUAAAAAUAUAAAUAUAAAUAUAAAACCAUAGAUUUACUCUUCAAUCUUCGUGAUUUGGCCGAUUUCUCUUAAAGCUUUGGUUUCUUUAUAAGUGCAACGAGAAAUAGUAAGAAGAUUAAAAAAGCAAUAAAGUAAAACUUUAAAAUUUUUAUUUCUUUAUAUUUUUAUCGGUCAUUUGACCGGUACUGGCGUUUGAUUUUCUGACCGAGCUACUGUUUAGUUCUAAGUUUUGGCAAUUAGAACUGGUGGAUGUCGACUGUUCAAUAAUGAUGGCAGCAUUGACGCAGUGGAAUAAGGAUCACAUAUCUCAAACUUUAGGUGAUGAUAUUGUUAGAUAUUUCAUUGAUUGAGGAUCACAUGUUUUAUGACCACUAUUGUUAGAUAUUUUAUUGACUUACUAUGUAAGUCAAGCAAUUAUUUUUAAAUAAUGAUAUUAUAAUUAAAAAUCAAGAAAUAUUUAUAAUACUUAAAGACUAAUUCAGAUUAUUAUUAUUUUAUAUGACUUAAUUAUUAGCUGACAAAUAAUUAAAAGGUCAUAGAACAAUAUUUUUAGGUCAAAUUUGUAUUCUAAUAUGACACAACUUGUACUUUCAUUCCUAUGCUAAAAUAUAUCUAACCUACUAAUAGUCAAGAAAUAUAUCUAUUCAUCACAUACUUGUUAGAAAGAUUAUCUACUAAUUAAUCAUUGAGACGAGAUUACGAGUCUCAACAUAAAUUAGGAUAAAAAUUAAUACAUUGAAAUUCAGAACAUUUCUUUUUCCUCCUUCUGCAGUUUAAAAAGGAGUCGCCCACGAGUACUGAAAUAAUUUUAUCAGAUUCGCUUGAAAGUAGUUUUACGAGCAAGCAGUUUUUCCCUCUUGAUCCCCGUAUUCGUCAGCUCCUACUCUUUGCCUUCAAUUCUCAGUCAAGUAGUAUCAGUUUUUGUUGUCAGCUCUCUUGAAUUUCACUGGAUCAAGUUUUCUCUUGGCAUCUGUUUUGUUGUAAUCUCCAGUCUUUGUUAAUUAGUUUCUCUCCAUUCCCAAUCUUGUUGUGGCCUGCUGUUGUCUCUGUUUGGUUCCAUAUCUACCCUUUGUACUUCUACCGUGUCAAGAUACCUUCAUUUUUUCCAUCUCUAUUACCAGUCAAUAUUUUUUCCGUCUUUCUUCUGGUCAAUUCUUCAGUUAUUCUGAUUGGUUCCCUUCGCCUCUAUUAUCUAAAUCAUUCCUUAUAUUAAUUCAAUCAGUUCUCGAACUAGAAAUUUUUUCCUUGUUUCCAUCUUCUCACCAGAUCCAUAACAGCUUUUACUCUUUCUUUCAUUUCUCCGCUUCCAAAACCGGAUAAACUGUCCAUCUUCGUUGUUUCGUUUUUUUUUUUUUUCACUCCCUCUUUGUUUCGC